rnacentral:lncRNA from 1 species
GAUUAUACUUAUAAGAUUAAGUGUAAUUCUGAAUUGAUUGAAAAAGUUUAAAUCAAUAGCAGAACGAAUAAGAAGAAUCAAGUAGGCAGAAAGAUAAAAGUUUCUCCAUUCUAAGAAGAAGGGAGAGUACCUUUUAUGCUUUAUGAUAGGUCUUAAUGAUUAAGAACCAUAUCUCAAUUGAUCCUCUAAGUGAGUCUUAGUACAAUUGUAUGUCUAAGAAGAGGAAUCAAGAAUUGAAGAAAUGGUUAAAUCAAGAAGUCAAUCAUACUUCGUUCCAAAACAAGUCUUAGAGUUAAGAUUGUGACAUUGAGUGAAAAGUAUUAAGAAGGUUUAUAACAUUCAUCAAAUGUGGAAAGUUGUGAUGUCUUGGAUAAGACAAAGACCAACUAGGACCAAUUUAUGAAGUGUUUUGAUAAAAGCUACACUAACUCUUGAAUAUUUGUUUGUCAAGAAAUGUUUAUUGACAAGAGAAUCUUAUAUGUCAAGGAGUCAGUGGGAGUCUUAAUGGUCUUGAAAGGUUUCAAGAACAAAUCAAAUAAACCUUAUCGAUCAUCACUAGCACACGAGUUGAGGUUUACAACCUAUCGUGUUGACAUUAUUUUGUUUCUGUGCCAAUCCAAUCGAGUUAAUUAUGCAUGUGAGUUCUAUGAGUUCUCAUUUUGAACGCAUAAAAGGCAAAGCACCUUAAUCAAUGAAAGGUACAUUGAUAGGAAAGGGUGAGCUGCUUAACUACUUGGAAGACAUGGUGGGCAGCUGUGCUACCAUAAGGCAAGAAAUCAAGAUUAAGAAAGUUCGGUCCAUAUGAGUUUGAAUUUGUCGUAAACUUUGGUUUUAACAAAUUCACAUGGAUAGGAACACAUACACCGUUUAAAUCUAAGUGUCAUAAGAUUUCCUCCUUCAUGAAAAUGAUUGUGAGGAAAUGCUUUCACUAAGAAAGAUUUUAAGAAGAUAGUGAUUGUAAAAUUGCAUUCUCGAAUUCGAUUAUGGUUACGGUAUCCCUUUCCAUAAUUUGAAUUGUGAGGUUUGGCAAUUAGUCUUAAUUGUUUAGACACACAUAUGAACUAUCGAAGGCAAAGGUGUAUAAGUUCAAGAAGCCUUGAUAAAAGAUUAUCAAAGCACUAAGUAUUAGAAACAUGAACUUAAGAAAUUCAAUAAGUAUUGUUUUUCUGAAAGUUAAGAUGUUUAUGAAUACAUGUCGAAGCUAGUGGGAGCAUAAGUGUUAUGUUUUAUAAUAAUCAUCAUGAUAGUGGGAGCAUAAAUGUUAUGAUUGUAUGAUUAUUAAGGAAAGUAUUGCAAGUUGGCAAUAUUAAUUAUAGAAAACAAGAGUCAUACUUUGCAAAGUUGUAAGGGUUGAAAGGUUGUUUUGCUAUAAUUAAGGGAGAGAAUAUUAUGCUUCAUUUCAAAUCUAAAGGAUUAGGUUGAGAAAUGUUAAUAAAUUUAGUCAAAGGUACAUAGUGUGUUCUUAAAAUUUCGAUUAUGAUUACGGCAUCCCUCUUCACAAUUCGAAUUUUGAGAACAUAGCAAAUAAAACAUUAUGCGUCGUGUCCCAUACGCUUCGGGUAUAGGAUCGAUUGCAAAUGCUUUAAUGUUUGACCAUUCUAAAAUUUUCCAAAUGUCGAGCGCAUUUAGAGGGAAAAGGGACUAGAAUUGGUUUUGACUAAAAUAAUUAAACAACUAUCAAAGGACAAUCCAAAGUUCGACGAGGAUUGGUCGCUUGUGAGUAGUUGGAAGUAUAGUAUUGGAAAAUAUGGAAAUGUUUCCAUAUUGGAUGGACCAUAUCGACAUCAUUACGAAUAGAUAAGAUUCUAUUAAGAAUGAGUUGUCAUAUGGAACAUAUGGAAGUGUGUCCAUAUUGGGAAUUGAAUAUUGAGAAAUCUAUGACUAGAUUAGAAACUUCUAUGCAAAAGGAUGUUCAAAGAAUGUACUUUGAGUGAGAGACAUCACGUCUAUGGAAUUGUCUUGUAACAAUCUCCGAUAGAGGACUUUGUAAUAUCAUUGGCAAUAGUCUUUGUGACUUUGGUGCAGUGACAUUACGAAAGGAUAGUUGCAUAGAAUGUUAGAAUCUAGCAUAUUCUAUAAGUAGCAAGAAUUUGAUAUUCUUUGACUUAUGAAAAACGGAUUUGGAGUUGUGAAAUGAGAAGGAUUGGAAAUGUGUUCAAUGUGAUCUAUUUCACAAAGUAAGAACCAUAGGUAAACAUUGUGUGCAUGCUAGGAGCAUGGGACAAGUGUUGGAAUUCAAGUAAGAAGUUGAUUACCCGAAACGACAAAUAAUGAGUAAUCAAUAUGGUGAUAAAUAAAAGGUGUUUUAUUUAUACUCAAAGGUUUGAGGCCAUAUGGGAUUAGUAUUAUUCUUGUGUUUCACAUUUGCAUGUUUUGACUUCCAGAAUAAUUGAGUUUAUUAAGAAUAAUCGAAUUAUUCAAACGGGCCACAGUCGUUCAUAUGUUGGAAGUAGAUAUGAAUGAAGACUGUCGUGAAUUGGUGUGUGGAUUGUCUAAAAGAGUAUUAGACAUAAGCAAAUGUUUGCUGCAACGUUCAUGAGUGCUUAUGAAUAUGAUUUGAGCAUUGGAUUAAACCCACGCUCACUUGGAUCACUCCAUGAAUUGUAUCACGAGUGAUUGGUGAGACGAUAACAUCUUAUAUUCUUGAAACCGAGAUGUGUGAGUUGUAUCUUGCAAAUCGGUUGCACAUUGAUAAUAUGUAAACGCACUAGUAACUUGGUGUUAUAAAACAUAUUGUUGUGUGUGAUUCGGUGAGUGAGUGCAAGCAAGCAUUGUAUCAAAGUUUAUCCGUUCCUUUUAUCCAAAGUAGGAUAAAAGCGAUAUCUUUGGGCCCCUCGAUGGUUUAGUGAUGACAAACGUAAAUGCUCGGCCGGGCUAGGGCUAAUUUGAUUUGUUCAAUUAGUCAGUCGUCAUAAAUCGGAAAUCGAGAUAUAGUACAAAGAGAAUGAUUUGAAAUCAUAUCUCAUAUGAUAUCUAGAAUGGAGGAAUAUAUGAUCCCUUAUCUAAGGACACGCGUAUCUGAUAUGAUCAGAGUUGACAGCGGCUUUGGAAAGCUACGAUUGCAGAUCGGGAUCCGAAGUCAUACGCAGAAUAGUUGUUAGACUUAUCCAAGUGGGAGACUGUUGGAUUAGUGUCUAAGUCCAUAACUAUUUUGGUAUGUACUUGACCCGAUGGUGCAUGGUCCUUUUGGGUUGCCUUCACCAAAGCAACUUGAUUGGAGAAAUGAAUAUAGAGAGAGAGGAUAUUAUGAUUUAUUAAUAUGUUAUAAGAAUAAUAUAUUAAAGGAGAAAUCAUAUUUGUUUAAUUAAUAUUGGUCGAUAAAUUAAGAAUUAGUUUUGUGAUCAAAUGCAAUUAAUUAAACUAGAGGGGCUGAUUUGUAAUUAUGUGAUAGUUACAAAAUAAGGUAAGGAUUAUCUUAUGAGUAUGGUGAACGAAUUUAAGGUUGGAAAGCCUUAGAAAUCGAGUAUGAUAAGGAUUCAAGGAUUAUCUUAUUGGUUGCUUAUUGGAUAAUCAACUAGAUAAGGAUAAUGACUGAAACCCUAUCUCUACACCUAUAUAAACAACCCCAAGGUCAUGAAUUCGUGUAUCCCUUCCCAAGAAGUCCCAAAUACGAAUUCUAACCUCUCUCCUCUUUCUUUAUACAUUCUCCACUUGCUUAUGGUGUUUGUAAGCCAUUAGAGGAGUGACACUUGUGACUCUCAGCUUUCCAAGGUCAAUUCAAGGAGGAAUUGGAUUGUUAUUGCUACAUAACAAUCAAGGUAUGUUCUUAAACCUAUUUGCAUGUGAACUCUGAUUUCGAUAUGCUAGAAUUAGGGUUCAAAGUCUUGGAUUCAAAGUAUGUACAAUAGAGAAACCUAGAUCCAAGCUUUAGGGUUUGUAUGAGCACAUAGGAUGUCUUAUGCCCAAAACCCAUCAGUAGUAUGUGGGAAUUCCAACCUAAUGGUUGUGGGCCGAGGGUAUACCAUCUUGAGGAUGACUGGACCCAUAAUAUGUUGGCAUUCUAACCCGAUGGUUGAGGGCAUUCCAACCUUAUGGUUGAUUGGGCCCAUAGUAUGUUGUUAAUAUAUGUGUGUUACUUGUUGUGCGGGUAUUUUAGGGGAAUUCACUAAGCUUCAGGCUUACAGUUUUGGAUUUUUUUUUCAGGUACUUCAGAUGAUCACGGGAAGGCAAAGGCAUGAUCGUGCACGUCCUCACAUUUUUAUGAUUUUGAUUUCUGGGAUACUCUUAUAUGAUAUUAUUUUGAAAACAAUUUGUAAUGAUUAUGGGUUUAUGAAAGAUUUAAAAAGUUUUAAAUUUGCAUGAUUUUUAUGAGAGUUACAUCUAGCCUAAAAACAUCCCAAAGGUUGGUGCUUUAUAGAAAUGCAUUUCCAAUGCAUGUCUUGAACCCAAAACGGGUCAAAAAGGGGAAAUAUGACCUAAAAUCCAUGCAUGGCAUCAAAGCUUGGCUAAUGAUCAUAUCUAACCCACUCUAAUGUCACCUUGACCUGGAGAUUCAUAAAUUUGCAAACUUUAUGAAGUCCAUCCAUUGCAACAUCCAAGAAUAAGGAGAAAAAAAGGACAAAACUCAAGAUCUAGCUACAUAGAUAGAUAAAAAUCAGAUUUUGAAUACUUGCAACGGUCCAAAAGAGUGCCAAACUGAAUAUGAGAGCUUAACUUGCUAGAUCCUUGCCUCCUUCUCUCAAUCUUCUCCUUCUUUUGCUUCAAAAUGCCACACUAACUUACAAUAUGAGAUGGAAUGAAGAUUAGGGUUCACAAAGCCGAUAAUAAGGUUUAGAGGCUGAUAAAAGAUCAGCCUCAAGGACUUAAGGAGGUUAUAUAGGGUGCAAACAGUAACACCCCGAACCCAGAAGACCUAGAAAGGGAAGGAAAACCUUAAAAUUAGGAAGUGACUCGUCGAGUAGGUGGGGUGACUCGACGAGUAGGAGCACAAUUUGGGUCGCAGGAUUAAGUGACCAACUCGGCGAGUCGGGGGACCAACUCGGCGAGUCUGGUCUGGGUUAGGAAACCCAAAAUUCGAGUCCUUGUGCCCUAUUUAAGCAUCAUAUUCUCAUUCCCUCAGCCUCAUCUUUAGUCCCCAGACCCCAAACCCUCACCCACGAAACCCUAGAGCAUCUUGUGAGUGUUUGAGCCAUCUUUGAAUGAUUUGUGUGCUCUUGAAGAAGAAAAAGAAGAGCAAGGAGGUUGAAGCUUCAAGAAGGAGGAAGUAGAUCCAAAAGAUACACUCCAUUUUCUGUAUUUCUUGGUAAUCAAGUCUUCAUCUUGGCUUUUGGUUUCUUAGAUCUAGUUAUGUCCAUUUUAUGAAGAUUUUGGACCAUGGAGCUUGAUCUUUGUGAGAAGGACGUCCCAAGCUUAGAUCCUUUCAGAUCUGGGGUCCCUAAGAGUGGUUAAGGCAUAAAGGUGCAAGCUUUAUACCAUUAGAAAGCCCCAUGCAACCCUAAAGAGAUUAUUAUGGCCUCUUGGAACCCUAAAGGCCAUGAAAGGAAGUAAAGUCUAGGAAUUUACAUGAUUAUUAGAUGUCUAGAGUCUAGAUCUUGAUUUCCCUGUCGUGGUUUGGUGUAAUAAGGGUUUUUGGACCAUGGAGUUAUGUCUUAAUGAGCUAGGGUUUUAUCUAAACCCAUUAAGAAGGACUUUGGAUGGGUAAAGCUGGAAACUUUACCCUUAAUAAGUCAUUUCCAGAGUGUUUACGAAGUUUGGAGUUCAGAUCUGAAGUAUAGGGGCUUAAUCCUUUAAGAUAGGCUAGCAAACCGAGGAACUCGACGUGUCCAAGGAGGGAUUCGACGAGUUUAAGUGAGUUGUCCUGUUUUCCGGUUAUGGGUGAACUCGGCGAGUCAGGGGAAUGACUCGGCGGGUUGACUCGGUUUGUCACGAGUCUGGUUAGCCAAGGAACUCGGCGAGUCAGGGGCUAACUCGACUAGUUGGUUUGCGAUUGCAAGAUUCUAAGCUUUUGAACUCGGCAAGUUGAUGGAGCAACUCGGCGAGUCAAGUCAACCUGGAAGUGUUGACUUUGACCAUGGACCGUUGACUUUGACUUUGACCAGAGUUGACUUAGUUUGACUUCUGGAGGGCAUUUUGAGACUAAAUGUUAUGUUGGUAUUGGUAGCUCGGGGAGAAGCAGUUCGGGGAAUUGUCGAAUAGCAGCCAGGGGUUUCAGCCAGUAUUUAGUUGUGCGAGGUGAUUCUCCUCACUGUGUGAAUGGGUCUAAGGCCACAAUGCCAGACCAUGUAGUUAUGAAUAGGAAGACCCAGGGGUUAGUCCUAGGCAAUGUAUGCUAGUAUGAUAUUCCGGACCAAGGUCCGAUGCUGGGCGGGUGCCCGAGGAAUGUUUGCAUGUUAGAUUAUACUUGUUGUUUGUUUGAUACUUGUAUGUGCUUAGUAGGGAGGUGAGUGUGGGCGAGGUCCCGUAUCUCACCAUUAGCAGAGUAUAGACGGGGUUUCGUAUCUCAUUAGUAGUGAAGCAGGGGCGAGGCCGAGUUAAGAGGGAGGUGAGUGUGGGCGGGGGCUCGUAUGUCACUAUCAGCAGGAGUGUGGACGGGUUUCCAUGAUUCAUCAUUAGCAGGACAGGGGAGAGGCCUAAGUUAGGUGAGGCCUUAGAUCAGGAGUAUAGUAGAGUAUGUUUAGCUUAUUUGUUAUGUGGUGUAUAUGCUUAGCGGGCCGGGCCCAGAGACAGGCGGGGCCUAAGAGAAACAUAUAUGUUUACUGAGCGGGGCUCGAAGCCAGGUGAGGCGGGGGGUCAGGCGGUGCUUGUUGCUGGAUUGGUCCGGAGCUGGGCGGGGCCCGAUGUAGCGGGCGAGGCCCAGUGCUUGUAGUAUGUAAUUAUGUAUGGUAUGUGGUAGAUUGGGGAACUCGCUAAGUUUCGUGCUUACGGUUUUCAGUUUUGGUUUCAGCUACUUCCGGUAGCAAUGGGAGGAGCUCGGGGUGAUCGCAUGGCACACACCAUUGUUUGUUUAGCCUGAGAUGUUUUACUCUGAUAUAAAAAGAAUAUGUUUUGGGAUUAUACUCUAAUUUGACAUAACAGUUUUGUUUAUGAAUGAAAUGGUUGAUAAUUAUGGCUUAUACUAAUGAUUUAAAAUGAAAUUUUCGGAUCGUAUUUUUAAGGAUGUUACACAAACCUUAAAAUUUAGGGUUUCUCAACCAGCAGCCAACUCGUCGAGUUUUCCUCACCAACUCGUCGAUUUAGUCCAAAAAGAUGUGCGACCGAAAAGCCUUCAACAGUCGAGUUGAGGCCGUCAACUUGCUGAGUUCCAAGGGAAACUUGCCUUUUAAGGAAUAAAUAUCAUACUUGGAAAUCGGGAUGUUACAUUACAUUUCUUGAACCUAGUAUGUAAAUAGCCAAUCCAUUUAAAAAUGAAAAUGCUUUGAUUUAGAUAGUAAAUAAUGAUUAAGGAAAUCAGCUGCCUUUAAUGUACUAACGAAAUGGGUUUGAUUCACGAUCAAGAAGAUUCCUUAAGAUGAAAAUAAAAUUAGGGUUUUUUUUUUCAAAAUACAAAUCUAGCAUGAUCGACUUUACACGAAGAAACACCACAGUCAAACCCUAAAAUACAAAGGUAGCAUGAUCAUGAUUAUCGGGACCUACCAAACUGUUUUGACAAUUCCAGAAAUGCCUCCCAGGGUUUGUUAUCUUCCAACACGUUCGUUCUUUAGCUGGAACGUCGCAAUCGCAAAGCUAUACCCCUUCUCGCACUUGAACACGAGUAACUUGUAGCUGAUUCCUUGAAGUGGUCGAGCUGGAAGAUAUUGUUCUUGAGGAUGGCAAGAGUCGAUGGAGAGGAUUUGACUUUUCACAAAAGGGUAAGUAACAUUUGAAUAAUGGUCCGAUUCAGGGUUUCAAUUAAUAAGGGUUGUUAGACGAGUCAGCUUCUUCGACACAUCAAUAUCUCACGUAAGCUUAUUGGACACAUCACCCUGGCACAUAAGCAUUGGAACCAGUAAAUCGUCUAAUUUUUUGGAUAAUAGUGUAAUUAAAAAGUAAAAAUGAAGUUUAAUGGUCUAAUGUACCAAAAAAAAACUUUAGUGACUAAAUUAGACAAAUGCCAGAACUUUCAUGUGCUACAAUGUCAUUUUUCCAACUAAAAAAAGGACUUCAUUUUUAUUUUUCAAAAGUAUACCGAUUUAGUUAAGACCUAUGACACUUAAUCCAACACCCCUCCCAUCUCCAUAUGCAUCCUCAAAUGUUUUCACAUUUCAUCCGGACCCAAAUUGAAUUUUCAUAAGUCAAAAGUGUUUGGUAUUGGUGCAAGCGGUCUUGAAACAACAAAUUGGGCCAGCAUUCUUGGGUGUGAGGCGGGUACUCUUCCAUUUAUUUAUCUUGGAGUGCCUGUGGGAGCAAACAUGAAUCUUGAAAAAAAUUGGAGAACAAUAAUUGGAAAAUUCCAAUCUAAGUUGUCUAACUGGAAAUCCAAAACGUUGUCUUUCGGUGGGAGGCUCACAUUGAUAAAGUCAGUGCUAGGUAACUUGCCUACCUACAUCAUGUCAUUUUUUAAGGCACUGGAAAUCUAAAACAUUGUCUUUCGGUGGGAGGCUCACGUUGAUAAAGUCAGUGCUAGGUAACUUGCCUACCUACUUCAUGUCACUUUUUAAGUCACCACUAGGAGUGCUAGAGGAGCUCGAAAAAAUAUAUAAGAAGAAGGUUUCUAUGGGGUGACCAAGAUGACAAAAAGAAAAUUCACUAGGUGACAUGGGAUAAAGUGAUCGCCCCCAAAAUAGCUGGUGGGCUUAGAGCUGGAUCCAUCAAAGCUUUAAACUUAGGCCUGAUCGUUAAGUGGUGGUGACGACUGAAAUCGGACAGUCCUAAUUUAUGGACUUGGGUUAUUAAUGGUAUUCACAAUCUCAAUGGAAAUUCGAAAGAGUAUUUAGCAAAUAAGGCUAUAAGUGGGGUAUGGAACAAUAUAGCUAAUGCAAAAAAGACAUUACAAAAACAGGGCAGUGAACUAAAGGAUAUAUUUAAACACGAGGUCAAGUCUGGCGAAAACAGUUUAUUUUGGCUAGACACAUGGUUGGGCUCUUGUUCGUUUAAAGAAAAAUAUCAUUUUCUGUUCGAUCUUGAAACUAGAAAAAUAUGUACGGUGGCUGACAGAGUACACAUAGGUGGGUGGUCAUGGGAUUGGAAAUCUUUUCCCAACGCAAAUGAUUCGACUCAUGACAUAGAAAGCAUACAACGUGAACUUGAUAGUGUGCAACUAGCUUCGGGGUCAGAUGUAACACCCGGGUUUCAGGGCUAAGCAUUUUUGACAAUGUAAUAGUCUAGGUCAACUAUUGUAACUCUUUUUGAAGUAAUAAAGAUGAAAUAUUUGAGUAUUAUGUGAAAUUAUGUGUAUUUAUGUGCUUAUUAUUUAAUUAUAAAUGUAUAAUUAAUAAAGAAUAAAAAUAAGCAUCAAAAUUAAAGUGUGAGAUAAGCCCGAUAUCUUUAUAUAAAGUUGUAGUGGUCGAAACAAGGAUUUCGGGGAUAUAAAAACGCCGAAAUCCGAGUUAUAAUGAAGAAGUUAUGACCCGUCGAAGUUUCACGACGGAACUGACACGAUACCGGGAAGCGUAAAAAGUGAAUUUACGAUAGAGCGAGAUUUAGCCUUAGCAAUCUACACGAAAGUCAUAGAAUGCGUUAAACCGAGAGUAUCCAUAAAAAGAACGCCCAAAUCUGACUUCGUAUGAAGAAGUUAUGAUUUUUCGAAGUUUCGGCUUAGCAGUGUACAACCCGAAAUUCGAAUAUUAGAUCGAGCAGUUUUUAGCUGACACGGCCUGAACGAGAAUCAAAGAUCUCAUUAAGAGUAGCGUAACGAGAAAAUGAUGGGCGAAAACGGACGUCGGAUGAAGAAGUUAUGAGAAUUUAACGGACCAAUCCUAUAUCGGGCUGUUAAUAAUAUAACUUUUAAACUAAAGUCAAAAUUAGCCAACGGAGUCCAAACGGAAGUUGUAGAGUACGUUCCCACCUUCGCAUGGAUAUAAAGAACGUCGAAAAUGGAGCUCGUAUGUGAAAGUUAUGAUUUUUAGAAGCCGGAAAGUGAAAUUGCGAAAUCUGUUGAGAAGUUGAUGACGUGGCUCGGUCAGGGCCGUCACUUGCUGACCACGGUACUCGCUUCGGAUGAUGACACGUCGCUUCGCUAUUCCCCGCGUCUGAGGCCAAGUACGCCUCGCGUACGUUUGCUUCUUAUCCAUUCCGAGAGUAGGCGUGUGCGAGCCAGCUGGAUCCGAGCUGGUGUUCUUAUCCGAGGACUACGCGUCGCAUAACCUCCCUACGCCCAGCGUACCACCGAGGUUUCACGCCUAUAAAAGGCAUGCGAAGUUGCCUAGAUUUCUCACAUAUUUCGUUCACUACUUUCUCUCUCUAGCUUCCCUAAACCCUCCUAAACCCUAGGUAAACCCCCUAGCCCCCGAAGGAAGCCCCGAGGCUCCCGGAGUCCCGAGAAAAAGGGUCUUUCGGUUUCGGAAACGCUGCUCCGAGCAAAGCCCGGUUUUCUUUAAAAUCCGUUGUAAGUGAGCUACGCUUACGCAAUUUUUAAUAUAGCUUUCAAAUCAUUAUAGUAAUGUUAUUAGGUCCUUAAAAUAAUUAUUUGGGCUAUUAUUAUGAGUUAUAUUGAGUGUUAUUUAAUGCUUAUAUAAUAAUAAUAAUAAUAGCUAGACUAUUAAUUAGUCGCGGUUGACGUUAGACUAAACCCUAGUGGUAUUGAUACUAGGUUUUAUCGAAGGAAAAUUGUUUUGAGAGUAUCAAAGCGUUGUCCGAGUGCUGAGUCACGACCUUUCAGGUGAGUGCGUUGUUACUUUCAGCUUACACAUAGAUAUGAAGUAUUUAUACACGUUUUAAAUGAUUUAAAUUGUAUAUGUAUUUUAUAUCUACAAAAUGUGUUGGGUAGAACAUGGGUAGAUGUAAUAGUUGUUGUGUGAUAAAAUAAAAUAAUGAGAGGCCUCGUUAUAAAUGUUAUUGAUGAUCCAGUCAUCUAGCGAAGUAUAGAUGACGACCACAGACUAUUCUAGACAGUCUAGUGGAACACUAGCAGGCUCGCAACCUGUAGGUGUUUAUUUGAACUGUGUGUUUAUUUGAACUGUGUGCUCACCAGGUGCAUGUACUCCAUCCCCCACAUGGUUGCCUUAAGGACAUUUAUUGCUGAGGAAUCCCCUUAGCAGUAGUGUCCAUCCUGAUGAUAGUCCUUAGACUAGGUCCCUUGUGUUAGAUGUUUUAGGGACGUAAAGUGAGGAUAACAGGAACGGGUAAUCUGGUUUUUUUUUUUGGUUUGAUAAAGUUAAUAAACUUAUUUAUUGUGGGUUGAAAACCUUAUGUGCUCACCAGGCUCUCAAGCUUGACCCACUCAGUUUCUUGUAUUGCAGGUAGUGGCGCAUGAGCAUAGAUGUGAUGCCUUGGGAUGAGAGAUUAAGGGAUAUUAGGCCUGUAAAUACAGAAUAAUGUAGUAAUGCCUAUGAUGUAUUGUUUAUGCUUAUGAUCUGUAUCGAACAUGACAUCUCGAGUCUUUUUAAUGAAAUACAUUUCUAUGGAAAUGCUUUUGAUAAAUCCUUAUCAUAUUUUGUUUUGGGACAAAUUCCGCAACACUUUUAUUUAAAAUGUUACUCUGAUUUUUAAACAAAGCAUAAACAAAAUCGGUUUUUUCUGGCCAUGAAAAUGGGGAUGUCACAUCAGAUAUUUGGAGAUGUAAAUUAGAUUCCAAUGGAUGCUACACAGUUAACUCCUUACGUAAAUUGAUAGAUCCCCAUCCCCUUACAACCCCCGAAUCCACACAGGUGAAUUGGUGUAAGCAAAUUCCGUCAAAAGUAUUAUGCUUCAUUUGGAGAGCUAUGCAGAAGAAAAUCCCAUUUGUAGUAGCUUUAAGAAGGAGAGGAGUUGUGAUUGAUACAAUUUUGUGCAGUUCCUACAUUGAUGGUAUUGAAUGCACUGAUCAUUUACUAGUCGGGUGUCCGUAUGCGUGCAUGAUCAGAGAUUAGAUUUUCACUUGGUGUGGAGUGCACCAAACAUCCCUCAACAGUGUGGAAGACCUCCUUAGAUUUGCUACUACCUAGGGUCGAUGUCUGAAGAUGAGUAAGAGAUUCACAUCAAUAUGCUAUGGUCUUCUUUGGAUGUAUGGAAGUAUAGAAAUGAAAGGUUGUUUCAACUGGUGUUUACUAAUCCAAUUAUAGGGGCAAAAUAUGUCAAAUCGAUGGUAUUUUUUUGGUUAAAACACCGGGGUAAAUUGGGAAACUGCAAGUGGGAAGAAUGGUUGCACUACCCAUUUCGUUCUCUGUAAUUCAUUUAACAGUUUUGUUCUAUAAUCUUUAUAUGUCCCCUCUAGCUUCUUGCUAGGCUGAAGCCUUGAUUUAUUAUAUUUGCUGUUCAAAAAAAAUCAUAUGGCCGCUUGAAAUCGCCAAUAAUAACUAUAUUUUUGGAGAGAUUAACAAAUUGUUAAUUAAGUAUAUUUAUCGCUUUACAUUGUUUUAUUGCCUCCAAUUGGUCACUCAUUAUUAAGUAUCAGAAUGAGGAAGAGUAUCGAUCAAAUAAAGUUGAUAUCCAUAAUUAAUCUUUUCACAAUUAUGUUUUUUUUAUUGAAUCGCACAAAAUGAAUAAUGUUUUAUUUCAAAAUAGACCAUUCAUGACUUUUCUUUUAAAGUUGUUUUAAUAGUUAAAGUAAAGUACAUCGUUUAUCGCCGAAGUACGCUGCAAAUACGACUAUUGCCAUUAAGUACAUGAACUUCCCUAUUCGACCUCGUGAUAGAUUUUUUAAAUCGAUACACCAUUUACUUUUAAUAGAUCCGUAUAAAAAUCUGCUAAUUUGAUUUUUUUCAUUUUCUGUAACCCACAUGACUAUUUUUAAAAAAAGCGUUUGUGAUCUUUUUGUAUCACCACUUUCGUCCUUUUCUUCAUUAUUCUUCAUAAAAAUGAAUAUAAACGAGAAGUGAAUUCGUACUGACAUUGAAAAAUUAUCAAGCACAUGGAGUUAAAAAAAUUAUAACCAAAAUGUUUUUAUACAUAGCCCGCAGAUGAACCACUAGAGAUAUUUGUUAAAACUAAUGUAGACUACAGUAAUAAGUAAUUAUCAAAAUUCUUGUAAACAUUUUUUUGGCAAAACUCAAACUCAAUUAACAUUGAUAAAAACAUCAUGUUUUAAAAAAGUUUGAGUAUAUAGAAAUAUAUUUUGAAAAUUAAUAAAAAAAAUUCAAUAAAUUAUUAAUAAGUUAUUUCAAAAUUAACACGAUGACAAAUGAAUUUAAUGAAGUAACAUGCACUCCCCCGACCUGGGUUCUCAUUCUGUUCUGGGUAUAUGAAUGUCAACUUUUACAAGAAUCGAAUAGUUUCUUUUUUUCCCAUAAAAUAAAAAUUAGGUACUUUUAACACAUGAAUUUAAAACUGAAGCAAGAUAGUCAUGCUGGCAUCUUCAUGGGUUACAUGCAGUACCAAUUAUCAUUAAUCAUUGGUUCACACAUUUCUUCCUAGUUUUUUUAUUGAAUAUCAUUUUACACACCGACUAAAUGCCAAGUAUCCAACCUAGUAAUUGUUUAAGGUUACGCAUAAUAUUACAUAAUAUAUUAUUAAAUCAUUUUAUGUUAUUGUGAUGCCACAGUUUGUACUUUGUAUCAAAGUAUAUUCUUGAAUUUCUUUUAGAUUUUCAAGAAACCCACGACAAUUUUUCAAUGUUUUUUUGUUUCCACCUUUUUAACAGUUUUAUCGUUAAUCUUUCAGUAAUUUAUAUAUGUACAUAUAUAUUUUUGAAGAAAAUAACUCUUAUAAUUAGCAAAAAGAAAUAGUUUGUACCAUUUUUUUCGUUUUUUUUAUCAUUAGUUGCUUUUGUUCCUGCUAUUGUUUAAACCAACUUGAGAUUAUAAUCAAACAAAAAGACAUCUCUUCGAUCUAUAUUUGAAAAUCUGAUUUCAGCUAAUUUGAAUUAAUCCAUUAUAUUCUAACUAGAUUUAUUUGAGAUUCAAUUUUAACAUCGAUAGUCAUAUCAGUAGUCAGGUUUUUGUUUAAGGUAUACAAAAUAAUUUACAAAAUAUGAAUGUGAUUAGGAAUUUGAAGUUUUAAAUGGGGUAAGCCAUAUCAUGAGUUCCUUUUAUUUAGCAUAAAUAUAUAUUGCAUAUAUGAGGUAGGAUCAAUGACAAAUUCCAUUGAAUGAGCGAACCAACAAAUUGACCAAAUCGAUAAUUGUGUUUAACAUAAUUGAGGUUAGACUAAGAAAUCAUUUCAUCUUCUGAUUACUUGCAACUAAAAGAAAUAACCAACAAACUUUACUAAAUCAUUGUUUGAUUAUAGAAAUUGAAACCGAAUUAAUUUCAAGUAAACUUUAAAAAAAAAAAUCCUAUGCAUAUUUAUGCAUUGCUUUUUCCUAUUUGUUUCGCAUUUUUCCUAUUUGUUUCGCAUUUGGUGCAUCUUGACCAAACUUCAUGACAAAUCUUUGAAUAUGGACUGUAAUUGUUGUGUAUCUUGUUGGUUUAUGUAGAAAUCAGAGAUUGUUGCGGUUGGGAAAAACAGAGCCACUGGGGUGGCAAUGAACUGCACAAUACAUAUGGAACUCGAUAUAUGUAAUAUCGAUUCGAAGUAAAUCAAGUUGAUGAUAGUUGUACAAUUUGCAUAAGAUCAUUCAAGAGCAUAGUUGAAAUGAAAACUUAAUCUAUAAAAACUAUGCAUCUGUUAAAUGCAUAGUUAUAAUAAUAAAUUUAAAAAUUAUCUAAUGUCAACUGAUUUUGCAUAUGAAAUAUACAAUAAAAAUUAAAUUCAACUGAGAGAACAAGAACAAUCUAAUGCGCAGGGACAAUGUUUGAAAACUCAAACCUUGAGCAAAUGCUUAAGAUCAAUGUCUGCUUGCUAAUAAAUGUUCCAGUCAAGUCUGAGAUAAAGUAUUCAACAAAUGUUCAAUCCAUAAAUGAGAAUAAAGAUCAAGGUAAAGAUAAUAAAUGAAGAACAAGAAGAAUGUUUUAGAGAAUAUUUAGAAAUAUGAAACAACUUAAAUAUGCUAAAAGGUUUAAAUAAUUUGUCACUUGAAUUAACAUUGAAUGCUCCUAUAAAUAGGAGAGCAUGAAACAUAGUACAAACUCGUAAACAUACAUAAGACCGGAUAUAAAAAGUGUUUCUGACAUUCUGAUUGUCCAAGUUGACAAACAUACUAAAUCCUAUUAGAUGUCUAAUCAUGCUAAGUGACAAAAUAAUAAAUACAACAAGACAAAACAUUGACUCCGGAUCAUCAAUUAUUCCGGGCAUAAAGUCCAUUCCGAAAUUCUUUCACUUAUGAUCUUCAUAUCACCAGCUGAUCUUCACUUCGGACAUGAGUAGAUUCCGGAUAACUUUUUACUUCGUAACACAGGCUGACUUCGGAUUUGGCAUUUGGACUUAGGAUUGUUGGAGGUUCACUUUCAGGUUCCAACAACCUCCCCCUAAGUGAACUUAGCAAUCCAGUCAACUUAGAUAGCUUCUCCCUUGAUAAAGGUGUGGGCUCUAAACAACCAUUCUCUAACUUCAAUGUACCAAGUCAGAUGACUCACAAACUUUGCUUUGACCUGUUCUAGAGCUUCUGACUUGGAUGCACGGCUAAUGAACCUCCGAAGUGCUUUUGUAGGAACCAGGUGUUUGUCAAGGACUCGGAAACAGUCCUUUUUGUUUGACUUCCUGGUUGUGUAGACAAACCCUAGAACCGGAUCAUCGAUUGGGCCAUCGACAAGUAGUUCAGCUUUAGGAAGAACAAAGUUGAUUUUUACGACAAAGUCUUUAGUCCCGUAUAGGUGAGCCAACUCAUAGUCGCAUCUGCAAAACUCCACGACAUAGUCCUUAAGGAAACUCAGAGCAACAUGGUAGACACCCAUGCUGAUAUCAUCUUUUUGGAUUCCUCGAAGAUGAGCAGCCAAUGUGAGAAUGUCAUUCAGAUUCAUCGAAGGGAAAUCAGCGCCAGUGAUGGUCUGGGGUGUUGGUUUGUUGCGGAAGAUGUGAAAACGAAAUAAUGUGCAGUUGAGUUCGAAUUUCACUAAGAUUUUUCUUCAAAACCCAUGGACUUUGGUAAUUCUCUUCCUUGUCCACACUUCCUUAAGAGGUUGUGCAUUCUUGGAGUAGAAUGUUUCAAGUCUCUCACGCUCAGUCCGGAGGAUCACUUCCGGAUCGUCAUUGGGGUGAAGAGGAGUGAACUCGAUGUAGUAUUUGCUGUAAGGAGAGAGAGGAAGAUCGAGUUGUUCGGAAUCAUUUGUCGAAACAUCGUAAUACAUAAAAGGAAUGAUUUUAUGAUCACAGAGAAUGCCUUCACGACAUAGAGGUGAUAUACCACGCAUCGGAUCGGGAUUAUCCUUGAGAGCUUGGAUCCAGAUGCUGUCCUCUAAAGCUUUGUUAAUUUCCUCCUGAGACCAUCCAAAUUUUUAUUUUGGUGUAGGUACGGAGUGGAAGGCUUGUUGUUCGGUUGCCAUUGGCUUUUUGCCUUUGUCUUUCUGCAACACAGACACGAUGAGUUGCAUGUUCUCAUCAACAACAAAUUCCAGAGUGGGGUUCAGAAGAGGUUCUUCCGGAUGUCAUUAGGGAUCCAGAGUGGAGAACCCUGGUCAAUAUGAGCGAUCCUUGGAGCCAGAAUUGGAGGAAGCGUAGAAGGGGUGGCUCGGAAGGCUUGAGCUGUGAGAAAUGAUUUUGCCUUAGCCAUUUGAAUUCCCUUCCAGAGAACAUCAGACAACAGGAUGGCCAAGAGACUGCGGACCAGAUCCUCUUUUCUUCCUCUGUCAUCACUUUCGGAAAGAGCUUGUUUGGAGCUUCUAGACCGAGAACUCCAUUAGUGACAUAUUCUUCUUCACUGUCUUCAGCUUCUGAAACUUUAGGAGAGGAUUCAGAAAGGAUCUUCAAUUCAUCAUCACUUUCAAUUUCAUCCUGGAGUGUAAAUUCCAAGGCUGGUUUCCAAACAUGAUUGGGGCCUCCUCCCCCUCUUGCAUCGGUGGAACGAAGAACCAGUGCAAGCAAUAGUGACUCCUUCAUACCAUCAAAAUUUUCAAACACCUUUUGAAUUCUGGUGUUGAUUUGUUUAGUGAGAGCAUCAUACGCUUUGGAAGUGGGCGCUUGAGAGGCAAGAUGUUCGAACAAAUGACCAAGGAUGGCUAACAUUUCAUCAAACUUUUGAUUCGGAACAUCAACAAUGUUCCAAGUGGAUCGGAGCAUUUUGAUGAGGACUUGUUGAAUUAUGAGAUUUAUCUCAUCCUUCUUCUUGAUUUCCUUCUCCAAUCUUUGAAUUUGCUUCUCAUGACGAACAUGGGUCUGCUUGAUGAGAUCAUUGGUAGCAGCAACCAAGUCAUCAUGGACCUUGAGCAUUGUUGUGAUCGUAUCAAGGUAGUGAUCAAUCGAGGCAUCAUACUUUGCUUCGACUUCUUCUAUAGAGUGUUUGAGCCGGAGUGAGAUUAGUUUAUCUAAAUGCGCUUCUCUUUUAGCAACGGAAGGUUCGGACUGAUUAGAUAGAGACUAGAUAAUGACAUCAAGCUUGGAAUCCAGUCUGGAAACCUUUUGAUCAAUUUUGGUGUUGAGCUCUGUUACAGAAGUCUCGAUGCAGGAGACUUUCUUCAUGGUAUUGGACACGUUUGUAUGAAUCUUGAGGAGAGCAAACAGAUUGAUAUAAUCUCCAGCGGAGGAUCCAGUGACAGAAUUGGAGUGUUGUGGCUUUUCCUUGUGAGAUGUGGGAUUUUUAUAAGGACCAGGAUUAGUUGCAGCAUCAUCUUCUUGCAUCUUGAUGUUGGAGUUAUCAUCUCCAUCCGGAGUUGAGAAGGAGGAUCUGAAGUCAAAUGCAGACUUGGAUGAGGAAGGAUUAGAUAGGAAUUUGACAGAUGACAUGAAGUGUGUAUCUGGAACAAUGUUUCCAUCAUCAUUCAGCAUAACUUCCUCUGAGAGUUCUUCAUCUGUAUCGGUUUGAAUAAGGUUGUUGUGAGAAUUGACUGGAGCUUGUUUUGAGGCAAGUUCUUUAUCGACAUCAGUGUCAGUGGGAGCAACGUACGGAAGGUUGCUUUGAAUUUCUCUAUUCCGCAUUGAAAUGAGUGUAGACUCCACUUGAUCUCGAGUAAGGUCCGGAUGUCUAAUCACAGCCUUGUUCAUAAAAUCUUCCCGCAGUGGAUCAUUAGAACCUGGUCGUCCUGUACUCAUUCAGGGUAUUAGACCAGUUGUGGCAUCCCAAGUCGGAGGGACUACUCCAGCUUCGGAAUGCUUGGGGUCUGGAACAGGGGUUCCGGAGUGUGUGUGUGAGUGUGAGGAAGAAAGUGGGAUAUCAAAUUCGACACGUGGAUGUGUUCCAGGGGCAAGGAAUUGUGUUCAACAUUAGCAUCGCCUUGUUGGGAAGGUGAGGGUGGAUUAUUAGUAGACUCUCCGUGGGUGUGUGCUUGUGAUUUUGAAACACUGAGGGGUGCCUCAUAUGAGUAGGCAUGAGGAGUGUUCUGACGACCAGAGCAAGUCGGGAUGUCCUUAGCACCUUCCUGUAGAGAGGAAGAGCCGACUUUGGUUCUCUUUUAAGGCUUUGACUUAGAGGGAGAAGUUUUCCACUUGGUGGACUUCUUGGUCUUCGGUUUACCCACUUCCGGAGUGGGCAUAAUGGGUACUUGGGUAGACUGUGUUGGUUCGAACACAGUCGAAAUCUCCAGAUGUUUUUGUAAAUGAAUAGAUCAAGAAGGGAUAAGGUCCAACAUGUGUUGAGGUAACCUCCAGACAGGACCAAAAGAAUAUUGGUAUGGAAUUCUAUAAGAUUUAACAACUUUGAAAGAAACGCAUACCUCCGGAGGAAUCGUAUUAACAGGAAGAGGUUUGGAAAGUUCCCUGAAGAGUUGCUGAAUCGUCAAAGCCCAUAACCUAGGACUUGAAAUCUCAUUCUCUUUUCUCUUGAUGGAAAACUUGCAAAAGUCUUGCCAUAGCACCUCCGGAAGAUCAACCGCAUUGCUUCGUCUGGAGUAGAUACUGUAGACGACGUGAAGCCAAUCUUUGUUUAGUGUGUCCGUUCCACUGUGCUUUCCGGACAACCCGCGGAUGAUGAAAUGCAUCAACAUUGUCUAUAAACCUGUAACAGCAGAUUUCUUGAAAUUCUUGGCCUUGUAGUCAUGGGUGUACCCAAUGUGGUUUAAGAACUGUUGGAGCUCUUUUGCAGUUGGUUCUUGUACUUUGAAACCCUUGGGGUUUGGUUUCACACCGAUUGCCCUAAGGAAUGUGGAUUUGUAGAUGGGCACUAUUCUAUCGCCAAUGAUUUUCGUUUCCAAAACAUUUUCUUCGAGUUUGAUUCUGGUGAAGGAUCUGUGAAGAUGAUGAAGUGGGAGAGGUGGUUCAGGGACUUUGGUGAGAGGGAUGGAGAUGGGAUGGUUUGCCAUAAACUCGAUCACGACUAUGAUGGAUUCAUCAUAAUCCAUAGGGUUUAGUGAAAACGCUUGGGUUGUGUCCCUGAGAAAAGGUUGAGGUGAUGUCGAUGAUGAUGAUCCAUUGGAGGGUUUCUUCUUGGCAAUCGAUUUCUUGGGAGUGGAGCAGUUGGUGCAAUGUUUUGAGAUGAGGGUUGAGAAGCCAUUGUUGCAACAAGUUGAAAGCUUCAAGAACACGAUGAACACAGAGAGAGUUUGGGAGUUUUGGAGAAUGUUGAACGCGUAAAGAGGUAAAUGAAGUGUUUUGGGAGUAUUUAUAGGUAAGGAAAACGGGUCGGGUUAAGGGAAGUAAUGAUGAGGAUCCGAAUUUUAACCGGGUUGCAUUUAAUGAGUAACUGCUUUUGGAGGGUGACUUGACCUGGGAAUAAAAAGGUAGGGUUGUUUAUAGCUAGAAAUGGAAAACCCAAAUGGCGAUUUGAUGGUUGCUUUUGGAGACGUGCGUUCGUGGCACGAAUAUCAAGGAAGAUAAGGAUCAAAAGUUAAUGUUGCUUAAUGUUGCAUCUUAUGGACUUUUGGGUUUCCAAAUGAUCAAUUUCAGACGGUUUGAGAUCCAGAGGGUUAAAGGUUGUGUUCCGGAUUGUGAACAAUUUAAGAAAUGGUCCGGAAGGAUAUCAGUCUGGAGUGAAGCUUGAAUUUCCGGAGUCAAGAAAAGGUUUGCGAUUCUGGAAUCAAAAAUUGGUUGCGAUUCCGGAGUCAAAAAUUAUUUACGAUUCCAGAGUCAAAAAUUAUUUGUGAUUCCGGAGUCAAAAAUUUUGAAAUGAUGAUUAUAAGUUCCAGAGAAAAAGAUUUAAAAGAUUUCCGGAAAAGGAUUUGAAAGAUGUUCCGAUACAAGAUUUGAGAAAACUUCUGGAGUGAAUUUUGAAAAAUUCGAAGUAUAGAAUGUAAUACCUUUCCGGAGUGGAAUUCCGAGAUGCCAUUAUGAAGUAUACUCCGAGAUGCAAAAUGUGAUCAAGAUGACUAUGUGGACUUAGAACAACAAAUGAUCAGGAUGAGCUGUACAACUUAAGAUUCAAGUGAUGGUCAGAAAUAAAGUCAAUUAAAAUGAUUCUAUAUAUUCUGAGAGAAAGUAGUUCCAAGAUAAAAAAAAAAAAUUUUAAGAUCGGAACCAAUUUUCUGUCAGAUACUUCCAUCAAAGAGAGCAAGUCUCUUGAAAGAACUAAGGAUCUAACAUCAUCAUACAUAUCUUGUUCAGAAAACCAUUGAACUUGGUUUCGUCUAAUGCCAUAGUAAAGACAUCAUCAAUCUCAUCGUCAGACGGAACAAAAAUGAGUUCAAUGUUACCAUUACAUGGUCUUUUAUGAAAUGGUACCGUAUGUCAAUGUGCUUCAUCAUGGAGUGUUGAAUUGGAUGGUGUGAAAUUGCAAUAUCACUUUGAGAAUCACAAUAGAUAGGAAUGCGUUGAAAAUGAUAACCAUAAUCCAAGAGUUGAGACUUCAUCCAUAGAACUUGAGAGGUACAGCUAGCAGCAGCAAUGUAUUCAGCUUCGGCUGUAGAGAGUGCAAUGCAGUUCUGUUUCUUGGAUGACCAAAUAACCAAUCGUCCACCUAAAAAUUGACAGACACCCGAUGUGCUUUUUCUAUCAAGUUGAAGACCACCAUAGUUUGAAUCUGUAUGCUUGAAGUAAGAAGCUCUCAUUUGUUGGGUACCAGAUUCCGAGACUCUUUGUACCUUUGAGGUAUCGGAAAAUUUGUUUCAUAGCCAAGAAGUGAGACAUCUUUGGGUUGACUUGAAAUCUAGCACACAAGCAUGUUGCAAACAUGAUGUCUGGACGAAUUGGUGUGAGAUAGAGCAGAGAUCCAAUCAUUACUCUGUACUUCUUUUCAUCAACAGAUAUACCUGAAGGGUCGGCAAAGAUCUUGUGUCUGAAGCUCAUGGGAAGCUUAGCAGAGGCACAGGUGUCUAUUGAGUAUUUUUUUUAGGAGUUUCUCCAUGUACUUCUCUUGGUGAAUGAAAAUUUCUCUAUUAGUCUGUUUGACUUGGAGACCAAGAAAGAAGCUUAACUCUCGAUUCAUGCUCAUUUGGAAUCGUUUGAUCAUCAGCUUUACGAAGUCAGCAACCAUUGAUGAAUCUGUAGAUCCAAAAAUGAUGUUGUCCACAUAAAUUUGAACCAGCAUGAGAUGCUUUCCAUUCAAUCUUCAUAAUAGAGUAGGAUCCAGAACACCUCUUUGAAAACUAGAGCACUUGAGAAAUUCGGUGAGAGUCUCGUACCAUGCGCGAGGAGCUUGCUUGAGGCCAUAGACUGCCUUCCAGAGUUUGUAGCAUUGGUUCGGAAAGGAGAGAUUGAUGAAUCCGAAAGGCUGUUGAAGGUAUACUUCAGUGUCAAGUUCACCAUUUAAAAAAGCACUUUUGAUAUCCAUUUGGUAAACUUUGAAGCCUUUGUGAGCAGCAUAGGCAAGAAAGAUUAUGAUGGCUUCAAGUCAUGCAACAGGAGCACGAUCCCUUCAAUCUGAGUAAAACAUUUAGCCACCAGUCUUGCUUUAUUUCGAAUAAUAACUCCUGCAUCAUAUAAUUUUUUGUGAAACACCCAUCUCGUAUCGACUAUGGGAUGAUUCUGAGGAGGAGGGACGAGAGACCAAACUUCAUUUCUAUCAAAUUCUGCCAAUUCUUCUUGCAUGGAUGUGAUCCAAUCAGCAUGUUCAAGUGCUUCUUUAAUGGACCUGGGUUCAACCAUGCAGAUAAAUGCCGAAAAGUGACAUUCAUUUUGGAGACUUGCAGCAGAUCUAGUUUGUACACCAACGUUUAGGUUUCCGAUAACUUGGUUCGGAGGAUGAUCCUUGGUCCAAACAUGUAACCUUGGAAGUUAUUGAGCAGUAGACGAACCAAUAUCAAAAAUAGGAUUGAGUUGCUCCCCCUGAAUGGUUUGAACUUGAGGAUGAUGCUCCCCCUGAACUUCUGAACCGAAGAGGUUGACAUCAUCAUCCGAAGGAAACUCAUAGAAAUUUUCACUAUCAUCAAUGUUGAUCGGAUUUGAAUCAUAGAAGUCAGUAGCUGCAUCUUGGAAUCCAUCCACAUUUGAUUCAAGCGAAGGUUGACCAUUCUCCCCCUCAACCUGAGAAGGUUGAAAUGGUUCGGAAUCAAAUGGAGGAAGACUUGGAAUCGGACCGGCGACAUUUGGGGAAGCAGGAACAUCCGAAGUGGAAUGUUUCCUUAUCCAAGAUUCCGAGUCAAUGGCAGUUUAGGAGGGUCCAAAGAGAGUUUCAAAGUAUACUUCAUGGAUUACUUGAAUGUUCGGACAUUCCGGGGAAGGAGCAUCAGACUCCAUAAUGUGAGUGGUAACAUGAGUGGGGCCAGAAUUCCGAACGAAAUUGUCAUCAAAGGUAACAUCAAAACUUUCUUCAAUAAAUCGAGUACGUCAAUUGAGGACUCGAUAAGCCUUUGAUUUUGAGGAGUACCCAAGGAAAUAGCUUCAUCAGCUUUGGGUUGAAACUUGGUAAGCUGAUCAUGGUUGUUCUUGAUGAAGCAUCUGCAUCUGAAAACAUGAAGAAAUGAGAUCGUUGGCUUCCAACCAUUCAUAGCUUCAUACGGUGUUUUGUUGAGGCGUCAAUUGAUGAUACUUGUAUUAUGAGUAAAGCAUGCUGUGGAAAUGGCUUUAGCCCAAAGAUAGAGGGGAAGAUUUGCAAAAUUGAGCAUUGGUUGAGCAGCUUCAACUAGUGUUCUAUUUCAUCGUUCGGCUACACCGUUUUGUUGAGGAGUGUAGGGAGCAUAAAAGUUGUAGUCAAUUCCCUUAUUGGUAAGAAAGUUCUCAACGGAGGAGUUUGUGAAUUCCGAACCAUUGUCACUUCGAAUUCUCCUUACUGGAAGUUCUAUGAGAACUUCUAUUCCUUUGAUAAAAUUUAUGAGCUCGGAGGUUGUUUCUAAUUUUAGCCUGAGGAAGAAGACCCAAGUGAACCUAGUGAAAUCAUCUACAAUCACAAGAAUGUACUUUUUGUGAUGUAGACUUUCCACAGUUGAUGGUUGUGACAUCCCCAAAAUCUCGGCCAGAAAAGACCGAUUUUCAUUUAUGCUAUUAAAAUAAUUUCAGAGUAAAUCCUUUUGAUUUGAAAGAUUUGCGGAAUUUGUUCCCAAAAACAAAACAUGAUAAAACAAUGCUUACCAAAGCAUUUCGUAAAAGAAAUGUAUUUUCAUUAUAUAAUCAAAACCCGGGGUGUCAUGUUCCGAUACAGACCAAUAAGCAUAAACGAUAACAUUACAAGUCUUUCAACAAAUAUAUACAUAUACAGACUUGUAAAAAACAACUUGAUGGUUCAUCCAUCUUAUGCCCUCGCGCCACUUCCUGUAAUACAAAUAAAACUGAGUGGGUCAGGCUUGGGAGCCUGGUGAGCAUAUAGGGUUUUCAACCCACAAUAAAUAAUCAUAUUUAAUUUUCACCAACCAACAAUAACCCAAUUACCCAUUCCCGUUAUUCUCACUUUAUGUCCCUAAGACAACUAACAUAAGGGACCUAGUCUAAGAAUAUUUCAUCGGGGCGACAACACAUGCUUCGGGGGUUCCUCAACAAUAUAAGUCAAAUAAGGCAACCAUGAGGGGGAUGGAGUACAACGAAGGAACACCCAAGUUCAUUAACACCUACAGGUGGCGAACCUGCUAAUGUUUCCACAAGACUAUCUAGAAAAGUCCGUGGUCGUCAUCUAAACUCCGCUAGAUGACUAAAUCAAAACAACAACAAGGCCUCUCAUCUGUUUAUUACACACCACUUAUCUACCCAUGUUCUACCCAACAUAUUAGUAGAUAAAAAUAUACAUUUUUAUACAUAGUUUAAAAACCUUUAUAACAUGCUUUAAUCGAUACAUAUUCCACAUAACAGAUGAUGCACACACACAUAACACGUAUCUCAUAGAAAACAAAUAAGAUCCAUGAGAUAGAAGAGAGUGAAUAUACAAUCACACAUAUAACACAAAAUAUACACAUAACACGUAUUUCGUAUAAAAUACUUCAUAAUUAUGCGUUAGAAGAAAGUAACCACACACUCACACCUAUAAACAACAAUAUACUUAAUACACUCGAACCAUACUUGUAUUAUUAUCGUGUUUAUGAAAGGUAGUAUACACUCACUUGAUCAGAAGAUGAUCGGACAGCACUACGACUUGCAGAAGUAGUAAUCCUCAGCAGAUCUGGAAGAUCUUCACAAAAAUCGAACUUCUCGCGGGCAGAGCUUCGGCUCGGGAACCGCACUUCUCGGGAUCUUCGGGAUCUCGGGACUUGCUUCGGGGCUCGAGAAUAAUAUCGGGGCUUCGGGGUAUUUCUGGCAUGCAAAUCGAUGCAAAACGGGAGAGAGAAGAGAGAAAAUAGCAAAAGAACUCGGCUGCCCUCGCAUCCUAUUUAUAGGAGGCUGGAGCCUCGGAGUACGCGGGGCGUACUGCUGUACGCGGGGCGUACUGCUCCGAAAUCGUCACUGCUUACGUAUCCGAAGUGCUCGAGUGCGAGUGUCGACAUUCCUCGGUGUACGCGGGGCGUACUUCGGAUGAGUCCGAUGACUCCUCUUCGGAUAAUGCCGGAUUUUCCAAUUAAAUUUAAAUACAAAUUAUUUAAUAAACUUCGGAAAUUCAUAUCUUCUUCAUACAAACUCCGUUUUCGACGUUCUUUAUAUCCACGCGAAGGUGAGACUACGCUCUACAACUUUCGUUUAGACUUCGUCGGCUAAUUUUAAAUUAUUUUUAUUAUUUAUUUUUAAUAGGCCGGGACAGAAAAACUUCGUUAUAAAUUCAUAACUUCUUCGUUUGACGUCCGUUCUCGCCUAACCUUUUAUCGCUUCGAUACCAACAACGAGACCUUCGAUCCUCGUUUAGAUUGCUUCGGCUAAAAACCGCUCGAUCUCAAAUCGAGUAUAACAGGCUGCAUACCGCUAAGCCGAAACUUCGAUAAAUCAUAACUUCCUCAUACGAAGUCAGAUUGGGGCGUUCUAUAUAUAUUCGGAAACCUCGUUUCAACUACUACAACAUUAUCCAAAGAUAUCAAGUUUAUUUUACACUUUAAUUUUGACGUUUAUUUUUAUUCUUAAUUAAUCAAACCACAUAAUUAAGCAAUUAAGCACAAAACACAUAAUACUCAAAUAAUACAAUCUUAUUAUUUCAAAACGGGUUAUAAAGGUUAACCUAGACUAUUACAUUGCUAAAAAUGGCAAGCCCGGAAACACAGGCGUUACAAUGGUCCACACAGAUCAAUGUGUAGAAGUUCUAAAGGUUCGGAGAUUGAUUUUUCAAUGAUGACGGGAUGACCUUUCUUUGACUACGUAACACAUUCACAUGCAACACAUAAAUGAUCAUUCUCGAACUUAAGGAGUGGUAGACCUCUAACCAUUUCGCCUGAAACAAGAUCUUUCAUGUAUUUGAAGUUCAAAUGAGCAAGCCUUCGAUGCCAUAACCAACUGACGCCAGGAACAGCUUUGGAGAGUAAGCAUAGUUGUGGCUUGCCAAUGAUCAUGUUGAUAUCAAAAGGAUACAUGUUCUUGUUGCGAUUGGACUUGAUCAAGCAUUCUUUUUGGUCUUCAGUCAUGAUGUAGCUAUGUUUCUUGCGGAAUUCAACCUGACGAUUUGCAUUAGUGAGUUGAGCCACACUUAUCAGAUUGUGCUUCAAAUCAACUACAUAUGCCACGUUUGAAAUGGAGAAAUUGCCAUUAGUAAGGAUUCCAUAACCUCGGAUUUGAGAGUUGGAGUUGUUGCCAUAUGUUACAUAUCCAACAUUUGUUGCAAGCUUCAGAUCUCGCAGAAAGUCCUUCUGCCCGGUCAUGUGCAUGGAGCAAGCACUAUCAAUAUACCAUAUUGUUUCUUGCUCCGAAGCACAGAGUGCCUGCAAAAUUAGUGAAUUGUGGAGUUUUUAGGCUCCAAGUUAGGUUUUAGGACAAAGGCACGAGUCUUGGACUUCUGAAAUGACUUAUGAGCAACUGAGGGUUUAAAAGGUUUGUUCCAAGAUUCUUUCGGGAACAAACAAAAUGACAAAGUUCUUUCAUAAAUCCAAUAGUCAUAUUCAAUUAUAUGGAUUUCCGGAGUAGUUUGUUUUGAAACAUGAACUUCCGGAGUGGUGGGAACGACUGACACCUUCGGAACUGUUGUUUCCUCAAUAUGGGUUUUGACUUUCCACACAAAAUUUUGCUUUGAAGAUUUUGAAAAAAUUGUUUUCUUGGUACUUUUUGGUUUGCUUGAUGACACAUUGGUUUUUGAUAGAUUGGGUUUAAAAAUUGUGCCAUCGUAUUUAGCAAUGAAAACAGAUGAAACAGUCCGAGGAGAGAUGUUUUGGACGAAUGUGGUAUUUAUACGAGAGUUAGGCUGAGUGGAACUGACCACAUUCUUUGGUUCUACAUGACUGGAGGAACUAUAAGAUAUCUUGAGGAUCUUACUGGGAGUGAAACAGUUUUGACCAAGGAUUGAGGAACGAGAAUUCCGAGAUACACUCUUUUUGGAGUUCUCAAGGAACCUGGAGUUUUGUCUAGACUUAACAUCCUUUUUAAGAGUAUUUCGAGCUUCCACUUUAGGAUCGACAAUAUCCUUCCUAUUUAACAUUGGUUUUCUCUUGGAGUGAGGCAAAGGUUUAGAGGAUUGUCCUGUAGAUAGAUUACUAAAUUCGCGAUCAAUGGGACCAAUUUUGUUUUCGAAAUUACUAAAGAUUUUGAUUCGCAAGAAUCAAAGGAGACACAGCUUGAGGUUUCAACUUGAUCAUCUAAGGAUGCCCAUACAAACUCAGAGGUAACAGUUUCAGUUGUCUCUGGAAUGAUUUCUUCAACAAAACAGUUGUUAGGAGGAUUGUGUUUCGGAACAUAAUCUACACAAUUUGAAACACUGUGAUGAAAUUUCGUGGUCCGAUUCAGGUCUAGGUUUGUCAGAGGCAGAAGAGGCGUGGAAUCGGGACAUCUGACAUCAAUUGGUUGAAACUUGGGAAUUAGGGACACAAAAUGGUCUGUGUUCUCAAGAAGGGGCGACAAGGAAGAAACAGGGGUGUCUGAAUGUUUGAUGUUCGGAACCUCUCCCAUGAAUGUUAAAAUUUACAAUUCCUUCAAGGGACUAGCUAUUGGUUUCGAAAACUCGCUUCCGAGACCAGGAGCUUUAGGCCAUGGAUGACAAAAGUUAUGAGUCAUCCGAUCAUUUGCUUCAAGCAUGUCAAUAGAAUUAUGCAAAUCAUCUAUCUUAGCAUUAAGACGUUUGUUAUUAGAGAUUAAGACAUUUCUUUCAGAAUAAGUGAUUUCACAUUUGUCUUUCGAAAUAAUACAUUCAUCUUUUGACAUAACAAGCUCUCAUUCUAAAGACUCUAUUUUUAACUUCUUAUCUUCGAAACGUAACCUAAGACGAUUCAACUCAAUUUCCUUCUUCUCGCUAGCUUUUAUGGCUGACUCAUAGGCUUUGUAAAUGAUGUUCAUAUCUGAUUGGAUCUUAGUUAAAUAUGGUUUACAGAUAGAUAAAUCAAAAUUGUUAUCAUUAAUCAUAGAUUUUACCUGUUGAAUGAUGCUUCGACCGGGUGGAUCGUUGGUGGCCAUGUGUAGCAGUAGUGUGGUUCAACAACAUCAUCUUCAUCUUCAGACCUAGAGGACCAAUAUCCUUCAUCACAUUCAACAGUUUGUCUCGCCAUCAAGCACAUGUUUCUUCCAGUCACCAUGUCAUCAUCAUCUCCGGAUGAUCAAUAUCCUUCUAAAUCCCUUGAUACACUUGUUACAAAGGCUUUUUCACUUUCUGCCAUCUCUUGAGCUUUUCGGGCAUAGUAUGCAGAGUUCUUUAUCUUUGGCUUUUGCGAAGCUUCAGCUAAUCAAUCUUUUGCAAAGUGGUUUGCAUGUCCACACUUGUGACACGUCAUUUUUGGCUUGUUUGAUUUUGGAUUUUGUAGUUGUUCCGAAGUAGAGUCUGGUUUUGAGAUGUUCGGUUUGUAUGAGGGAGGAUUUUCCGAAAGAGGUUGUGAUUUCGGAGGAGAGUAUGGUUGAGGAUUAUUUUGGUGAGGAGCAUGGAAUCAAUUUUGGUAUGGUUUAUAAGAUGGAUUAAAGGUAGGUUUGUAUUUCAUGGAGAGCAAAACAAAUUCUUGUUGGAAACGGAGUUCAGAAUCUAUAGCUUUAGAGUAAUCAACAGGGUAGUUUUGUGUGGGUAAAAUAGGAAAGGAGGAUUGAACUAAAGGAGUAGUGGGUUUGAAAGGAUCUGAGGUGGAAGGAUUCAGAAUGGUUGGUCCAUAGGAGCUGACAAGGGCAUGAGGACCUCCAGAGUGUUCUCUUAUGGUUUGAGCAACAUUGGAUUCAUGUCCUUGAAGUUCAUCAAAAAGUUGAUAGAGCUUUAAAUUUUUCAAGGAGCCAUUACUUUGAAGACAAGAUUUCACAUUUCCCCAUCCUUUAUCGAGGCUGUUAAUGAAGUUGAGAUUGUACUCCAGUGGAGUUAGAACAAUCUCAUGCGCAGUCAUGUUGUUGAGUACUAUUCGGUAACGGUUAGAGACUGAGGCCACUGAUUCACCAGGAGUGGUAGUGAAGGUGUCAAAGUCAUUGGAAAUCGAAGUGAGACGCUUGUCUUUCAUGUUUUCUUAACCUUCUAUCAGAUCUUGGAGAGUGUCCCAAAUUUCUUUUGCUGAUUUACACAACUUAAUGUGUUCAAAGAGCGAAUGAGGAACACCAAACACCAUUUCAGAGAAGGCGACUUGAUCAACAUGCAACUUCUCAAUAUCAUCAGUUGUCAGAGGAGCUGGACGAGUCUCAUCUUGACCCAUAAGCUGAGCAGCAACAUCUCUUACAAUUGUUCUUACAUGAACAUGAGGGCCAUCUUUGACGGAUCUCCAAAUAGCUUCACCUUUCUCUUUGACUAACAAAAAUAUUUCCAUUCUAACUUUCCAGUGAUCAUAUUCUUGCACAACUAGAAAUGGGGCACGUGUAGGGCCACCAACACUAUUUGCGAUUUGCAUUGAAAUCAUUUGUUGAGAAUUAGAAGCAGCCAUUGAAGUUAAGAUAUCUUGAGCAAAAGUGGUAUAUAGAAGAACUUUUAUCUUAAACACAGAUAUGAUUGAAAUACCAAGGUAAUUUCAAAUCAAUGAUAAUCCGAUCUUAUGGAUUCAAAGGACAACCACUCAGGCUUUGAUACCAAUUGAGAGAACAAGAAUGGUCUAAUGCACAGGGACAAGGUUUGAAAACUCAAACCUUGAGUAAAUGCUUAAGAUCAUUGUUUGCUUGCUAAUAAAUGUUCCAGUUAAGUCUGGUAGACCAGUCAAGUUUGAGAUAAAGUAUUCAACAAAUGUUCAAGCCAUAAAUGAGAAUAAAGAUCAAGCUAAAGAUAAUAAAUGAAAAACAAGAAGAAUGUUUUAGAGAAUACUUAGAAUGAUGAAACAACUUGAAUAUGCUAAAAGAUUUGAAUAAUCCGUCACUUGAAUUAACAUUGAAUGCCCCUAUAAAUAGGAGAGCAUGAAACAUAGUACAAACUGGUAAACAUACAUAGGGCCGGAUAUAAGGAGUGUUUCCGACAUUUUGAUUGUCCAAGUUGACAAACAAACUAAAUCCUAUGAGAUCUCUAAUCAUGCUAAGUGACAAAAAUAAUAAAUACAACAAGACAAAACAUUGACUCCGGAUCAUCAAUUAUUCAGGACAUAAAGUCUAUUCCGGAAUUCUUUCACUUCUGAUCUUCAUAUCACCAACUGAUCUUCACUUCAGACAUGAGCAGAUUCCCGAUAACUUUUUACUUUGGAACACUGGCUGACUUCAGAUUUGGCAUUUGGACUUAGGAUUGCUAGAGGUUCACUUUCAGGUUCCAACAUCAACAUAUGUAAUCUCGAAUUUGAUUGUAUAAUCAAGUCGAUAAGAGUUACUUCAUUUACAUUAAAACACCAUUUUCUCUUUCAAAUCUUUUAGUUUAUACAUUGAACUUAAAAGCUUUGAAUGAAUACAUCAUACUUACUCUGGUAACUUGUUAAUAAGAUGUAUUAUUAUGGGCAUGUUAUGAUAUCGAUUGGUAAUCAUUUGGAUAAUCUCAGGAUAAAUUUAGUUGGUUGUAAUAUCACUUUUUGUUGGGUCAUGUGUCAUGUGGACGAUUUUACCCCUAUGAUAAUCUUUUGUCUUGUAAUGGUAGUUUGGUGUAAUUAUGAUGUGGAUUGUAGGUAUAUGAGAAUAAAUGAGUCUUAUUAUAAAUUGGUUUUCUACAAAUUUGUAACAUCCCAAAAUUCAAUGUCAAAAUUUUCAUUUUUAUGUAAGUAAGUAUAAAACUAGUAGUCUGAAACACCCAUAGUAUUAACUUGUUUCAUAAUAGAAAAAGUAGUAUUUCAAAUAACUAAAACAUGUCAUAGAAAAGUAUUAUCAGAGUACAACUCCCAAAGAUCUCAUAAUGCGGAAAUCAUAGUGUGAUGUGUUGCGAUCCCACCGGCUCCGUUCCUUUUUAAAACGAAGUACCCAAAACCAAAACUGUAAAUUGUAAGCACGAAGCUUAGUGAUUUCCCCCAUCAUACCACAUACCACACAAUAAACAUAUUGCCAGGCAAAUGUGGGUGCCCGGCCUACCCUGCUGAGCAUAUCUGGGUGAUCAGCCUACCCUUUGUCAGGCAUAUCGGGGUGCCCGACCUACCCCUUGUCAAGCAUAUUUGGGUGCUCGAUGACCCUGCCAGGCAUAUCUGGGUGCCAGACCUACCCUCUGGUUUAUUUCAACCUGCUACGAGGACUAUUUCACCCCUACCACUACCACAUAAAAACAUCGCAUAAAAUAUUGUCAGGCAUAUCUGGGUGUCCGACCUAUCCUUCCGGUUUAUCUCAACCAGAUCCGGGGACUAGUCCCCUUCCUACCACUAUCACAUAAUAUCAUAGCAUACUAGCACAAAUAGCAUAACAGAUAGUGGCAUAUUAGACAAUUAUCACAAAGACAAUCAUCUCUACUAUAAUCAAUCACUAAUGGGUCGGCAUUGGUGCCUUCGACCCAUUUUUACUGGAAGCUAACUCACCUCAUACUAUUGAAGUCCACUACAAGAGUUCCUUAGCUACUGCCCUGACAACACCUCAACCUACAGAUAUCAAAAUAUCUCCCAAUUAGUAGUUGGGUCUCAAACCAUGAUCCAAAACCCUUACUUGGGUGAAAUGUCCGUUUCAUCCCUGACCCAUCGAGGUCCAUCUAUAUAGUCCAUGAAAGCCCACUUAUGGCCCAAUUUUUGAAAUUGGGCCCAAACCUUACAUGGGACUACCCUCUAGAAUCCAUUCCGUACUUGAUAACCCUCCAAGGGUCAACCUUGGUCAUAGUCAACGUCAAAGUCAACAUUCUAUUCAAAGUCAACAUCAUGGUUGACUCAACUCACCGAGUUGGUCCAUCAACUCGUCGAGUUCCAUGAAUCAGAAUCCCUAAAUCGCGAUCCAACUCGUCGAGUUCCCUAGUUACUCAUGGUCACGAUAAAGCAAGUUAACUCAUCAAGUCCCUUCACAAACUUGUCGAGUUCCACCUUAAACUGAAUCGGGACAUAACGACUCAACUCGCCGAGCUCCCUUGUAGACUCUUCGAGUUUCAUGAAAAGAAUAAGGAAUAUUCGACCAAACUCGUCGAGUUCCUCUAUGAACUCGCUGAGUCCCUUGCAUUCCUAGACUAUACAGCUUUUUCCUCGGAUCUAAGGUUCUAGAAUACAGACCCAUAUUGUUUCCAUAACCUAUUUCUGUAAAGUUGACAACUUGAUAGCUUUGCACGCCUCAAAUGGACCCAAACUCAAGAUAUAGCAAUCUACUUCCAUGAACAUGGCCUUUUCUUGGAAAAAAAAUGGGUUGGAGACCCUUUUUAUGAUUCUAAGGGCCAAAUAUUGCUGGAAAGUGGGAAGAUGUUUCUGGAUCUAAUAGUCUCUUCUUGAAUCCCCAAGCUUCUCCUUCUUCCACAAGCUUCAAUGCACACAAACUCACUCAAAAAUGGCUCACACGCUCUCAUAAUGCAUUAGGGUUUUGAGAUUUUGGAUUUGGGGCUUGGAGGCUGAAAAUGAGGCCAAAACCCUAGAGUUAAGUUGUAUAAAUAAGGUGCACAAUCCCGGAUUUAGGGUUUCCCAAACCCAAUCCAACUCGUCGAGUUGGUCCUCCCCAACUCGACGAGUUGGUUUGUAAUCCCGCGUCCCAAAUGAUUCCUAGUCGUCGAGUUUUCCUCCUCGAACUCGACGAGUUGCCCUUUCUAAUGAAGUUUAUUUUUCUUUUAUAAGUCUUCUAGAUUCUGGGUGUUACAACUCUCCCCUACUUAAACUAGACUUCGUCCACGAAGUCUAAUGCAAUCACCUAUUCCGAAAAUGGCUCACACUAUAAGCUCGCGGCUCCCAACAAUUGCCAUGAACCAGUUGAUGUUUCUUACGAGAACUGACACCUGCCGUCCUGAGGGUACAACCAUCAUCCCACGCGAUCAAUGGCCUUCCCAAGGAAACCAAAACCUCUAUCCUGGAGAUAUCAUUCGAACCUUCAACCCUUGCAAGCUAGUUCUACCUUCUGAGACCUGAAACCAAUCAUAACCUGGCUUCCUAACAGCUUGCUGUGCUGAAACAACUAUCCAUCAAUCCCUCAACUGCUAGCAAAACAAUCACAACCCUUCCAACUCUGUUCUUUUAUCGGCCUACCCCGAUCUACUAGAACCAUACUUCGAGUAAUUCUUCAAACUUGGUGAAGAUUAACUCCUUGAUCUCUCAAGUAAAACCAAUCCUACUUUCCCUGGAAUCCAAACCCUAAGGUCUCAAUGGUCUGACUACCUGUCGGGCCCCUCAGACCGAACUUUCACCCAUCAUGCUGCUGCUGAAAAGGGAAACAAGUUACUGUCCAUACACGACUACAAAACACUUAUACCUGACAGAAGACUCAGAUAAUCCUUCGAGUAGAAGAUUCAUCCUUGCAACGGUUAGACUCAUACGAGAGCUGCGCAAUAGAGUCAAACCAACUACUCUGAGAUUAUUUAAUCCCAUUGUGAGUGACUUAUCACUUCCCAAAUCAAUCAGUUACACCGUCUGUUCAUGAAAUCCUAAAACACCAAUAUUGCACGAAACAGUAGAACUGCACGAAACGCUGAUCUGCCUGAAACAUUGAACUCCCAGAAACACUAAACUGCCUGAAACACUGAACUGCAUGACACAGUAUGCUACUUCCUGGCUACUUUCCAAAAUCCACUGAGACCUUCCUGGUCUCAAUCUGUUUGCUAGACAUCUGAAAUACGAAGUUCUUACCUGGUUACUAAGCCAAAGGUUCCCAUACAAUCGCCCCUCACGACUUCCGAACGAAAUCCUCAUCUGUCUAUAGUUGCGACUAGUCAUAUUGCCACUGUGGCUCUAACAACCUUUUGAUCUAAUUGAUCAACUCCAUACGCUGAAUCCUAACGUCACCAAACCCAAGGCUAAAAGUGAAUGCUACAAGACCAACUAUAGCCUUAUAUCACAAACGACCUUAUACGGUCCAUCGCUUGCUUGAUCCCAUGACUGAUGUGGUAUUCCCAUGGUCUUAUCACUGGCUCAUCCAGGUCUAAUUCAUCUGGGGAAAUCUGUAAACCGAUCCAUGGAGUUGUCACUCCCUCACAGAUGUACCACAACUACUGGGUGCUAUGGUUCUUCCCGUGAUCUAACAUCACUCCCAUACUAUCUACCAACCUAGUGAAAGCUACAACUACCCCCACAGACUUACAACACUUCAAACACUAUCUGACAACCUUGUGAAUGCUACGACUACACCCACAGUCUUACAACACUUCCAACACUAUCUGACAACCUUGUAAAUGCUACGGCUGCACCCGCAGACUUACAACACUCUAACACUAUCUGUCAACCUUGUGAAUGCUACAGCUACAUACGCAAGCUUACAACACUUCCAACGCUAUCUGAAAACCUUGUGAAUGCUACAGCUACACCCUCAGACUUACAGCACUCUAGCACUAUCUACCAACCAUGUGAAUGCUACGGCUACACCCGCAGACUUACAACACUCUAGCACUAUCUGCCAACCUUGAUUCUACCACCAAUCCAUCUAUACUCAUCCUAAGUUGAACAUGUACUCGACCUAACACUCAACUGAACUCGAGUCCUAAAUGGACCCCUAACCAGUUUCCCAAGGCCUGCUAUUCGAUGCUAAGGGAAAGCAUGGACCACAUGUUGGAACGUGUUCUGAACUCCCAACUCACCAAAUCCUCAACCUAGAUGGCCACUCGACCUCCUCCCUCUCUGACAUGGAUGCGAAACCCAUCCUAGUUCCAUACCCAUUUCUACUCCUAAAUACCUGAUCGAUUCUCCCCCACUUAGAUUCGACUAAGUCUUCACGGCAUGUGAGCAUUGAAGGAUUCCCAAUCCUUCUUACCUUAUGAAAUCCAAUUGCUGACGACCAACGCUUACCCGUGCUAACGAUCGGUUACCAGUCUUCCCUAAGAUCACUCAUCCUCUGAAAUCUUGAAGAGUACUCUAUAAAUCUGAUCCAAUCCGAUACAUCAAUCCUCCUUCCAUGAUAGUAUACCAACCCCUUGGAUUCCCAUGCUGGCAACUAGAAUCCUUGACCUUUACUCUGGCUGACGAACCCUUGCAGAAGUACUAAACUCUAAUCAGACACAACCCAUGCGAAAAUAACAUUCCCUUGGAACAACCAAUGGUCAAACAACCCAUGUGACUACACUUGUAUCCUUCUGCUACCACUCCUCUCCUAGCGACGGUAGCUCUAGAACCUAGAGGGUCCCUCAUAAGCCUCCACAACUCAUACUAGAACAGAUGAUGAAACCACUAUGCCCCAUCGAUACAAGGGGACUAGCCCUGAUGAAGCCAAUUCCAGACCUUCUACAUAAUACCCCUGACCGAUCUCUACUACGAGCUAAGAGAUCGCUGAAUACUCCGAACCAGCAAAAGGGAAACGACCUUUCACUAACCACUAAUAAUUCACGGUAUGCAAUUGGCAUGUGACAUUUCUUGAAAAUAUAAUCCAAACACAAGUAUGAUACACUUACUCAAAUCCGAUGCUAGAAAACAACCACAAAAUAUGGAUAGAACUGAUAAGAGCAACAUGUACAUACCUGCAACGUCGCCUACUGUAUUCGUGAUUUCACCUGCAUGUCACUGUAAAGUUUGAAUCCUAUUUGUUGGGGCUCCCGCUCUACCUUCUCGCCCGUCAUUGAUUUGCAAAAUAGCCAGAGCAGACGCCUUCACUGUUCCUCCCCUCAUCCUUGGACAGUCGACCUUCUUGUGGCCCAUUUUCUCGCAGUGAAAAGAAAAUGGGCUUGCCCCCUAAGAACAAUCCCUGCUGACAUGACCAACCCCGCCACACUUGUAGCGGCCUGAACCCAUGAAACGACAAACUCCCCUUUGUACUUUCCUGCAUCUGUUGCACUGACUCCGGCCCUGCUGGCCUUUCACCCGAUGAUCAGAAGUCUUGGGUCUCUUCCCGGAACUCUCUACUAUAUGCACCUGGCAUGACUCUCUCUUCCCAAGGUGAUCUAAAUCGGUCUUGCCUCCUUGGACUCUGGCAGUCAUAUCCUUCAAAGUCUGACACCCUGCCACACUCACUAGCUCACAUGCCAACUUCUGAACUGCAACAACUGCAAAAUCCUCUGCCCCAAACCGGGUCACAAACUCCUCCCAAAACAUAGUCUCAACUCAGAAAGCGCAAUAGACUGCGUAAUCUUGUAACACCCAUAAAAUUCAAGCCAAUUUAAAACUUUUCAAAACAUUUAAAAUCAACAGUUAUUACAAAUUUGUUUUCAAAAUAGUCUAUAUCAGAGUCCUCCCAGAAACAUAAACAAAGCAUGAGGAGUUGUACGAUAACGUUUUCACCUUGUUGCGAUCCCAUGAUGUACCUGAAACUAUAAGCCCGAGGCUUAGUGACUUCCCCCAAAAUACUGAUACCCUGCAUAUAACACAUAUACAAAUAACAACAUAUACUGGGUCCACAACUUUACAUACUGGUUUACCCCUGGGCCCACAGUGUGAGUCUGGAUUACCUUCCGAGCAGCCCACAACUCACAUCUAGAUUGCCAUUGAGCCCACAGUACGAGUCUCCCUCAACUCGUAUCUGGAAUGCUCCUGGGUUUGUUAGUUAUCGCACGGAGCAGUAUCACCUUAACCCAUCCCACAUAAUAUGCCGACAUAUAACACAACUAAUGCACAUAUAGAUGAUCAUACACAAUACUACAGGUAGUCCUACAGAUCUACCCUACUGGCAUAGCAACUAAUAUGCAACACUGAUUCAUAAAUGUUGUCUAGAAUGAGACAUUCUUGAGGCUUGAGCAUAAGAUAUGUAGUUAAAGCAAAAUUAGAAUCACCUAUUUAAUUAGCAUCCUAGAUUAUUAUACUUAAAUCUACAACUCUAUAUGUUAAUUAGUUUACUAGAAUUGCUAGUAUUUAGUGUUUAAUAUUUGUUUGUGAUAUAUUGUUAUUGACUGGAAUUGGGGUUAAUUUACAAUAAUAGAGUCUAGAAGAUGUUGUAACUUCUUUUCAGAUUUUGGUGGUAAAGCUCAAAUAGUUUAGGUAUGUGUAGUAGUAGCCUCAUUGUUCGUUAAUGUUAAUUUUUCUUCCUUCCAUGUUCAUCGUCCUGAUCUUGAUGCUACUUUUUCUUUCUAUAUUAUGUUGAAUCGAGAAGACAUGCAAAAUUUGCAUUUUUUGAAAAGCAUAAUUUUCAAAUUUUCGUACUUGCCCAUAUCAUUACAAGAUGUGUAACAACAUACCUUGCCCUCAUUGCGAAGUGAGCCAUCCGAUUCUCUAAUAUUGUAUAUAGACCGAAGAAAGACCUUAAGUAUGUCUGAAAUACAAGCUUGGACAUAAGGGGACAAAAUUUGGAAAAUAUAUGUUGUUGCUGAAACAGAUGCUUUGGGAUUAAAAAAGUAUAAAUAUGUAUCCGUUUUUUUAAACUUCAUUUUUUAAAUAUUAUUUUCGAAAUCCCUACUAUAUGUUGGCAAAACUAAAAAAACCAGAAAAAAUAAUUUUUUUUUCUUUUUCUAUUUAUAUUUUCUAUAUAAUUUGAAAUUGAACGAAAUUUGAAAAAACAAUAUUUCAAAAAAAAAUGAAUUUUUAAUACAUUUUCAUAUUUUUUUUGUUCAUAUGCACAUUUAAAAAAGUAUAUGUGCACAUGCAUAUGCACACAGUCUCUUUAUCAAUUCUCUUAAAUAUGUCAUACCCAUUGCAAAUAUAAAGUUUGAUGGCAAAAUUAAAUGUAGAUAAAAAGUUCAUUGGUUUACUCUCUCAAUCUGAUUAUCCAUGGAUCUAUAUGCAUAUGAAGAAGUAUAUUAAUAUGCAUAUGCAUAUUAACACACAUAUACAUAUACAUAUGCAUGAUAUGCAUAUAUAUACAUCAUAUGCAUAGACAAAUCUACUUAUACAUAUACAUAUGAAUGAUAUGCAUAUGUAUACAUUUAUAUGCAAAUGUGUCUAUUAAUAUGCAUAAGAAUAAGACAUAUGCAUAUAAAUAAUCAUAUGGANAUAUAUUAGAUUGGUGGUCCUUUUGAGAUAAUUUCGUUGCAUUUUUGGUCCCUUGAUAAACUAAAAUGACUAUAAUACCCUUCUGAUAUAUUUUUUUUCUAUUUAAUUUAAAGGAAAAAGAAAAUAAUUGAUUAAUUUGGCCCACAUCUCUCUCUCUCUCUCUCCAACUUCUAUUUCUUUCCCAUUCAUGGGUGAAACCCAUGUCACCACCUCAUCAGUCAUCUUUGUGACCUCUCCCACUCAUUCGUACUCCACCGACGAAGACAAUGACACCGGCGAGCUGUCGGCUGAAACAACCCACCACCGUUUGCGACCUUCGUUGUCGUUCACCACCCUCCACAACCUCCUUCUCGUCACCUGCAACUCGCCACUAACCUCCUCUCGAUGACACUACAACAACGAAUGUAUACGGAAGAAGAAAACCGGGCAACGUAGCUGCCAUCCAUCGUCGACAUAAGCCACCACCACCCAUCUUUGUUGCUGCUUUCGGAACUACUCCUCUCCGACCAUCUGUUGCCUUCCACCGGCUCUCUCCCCCUCUCAUUCAUUGCCGGAAAACGAAGAGAACGAAGGCAACAAGUUGUCGUCGCCACUGUUGUUAGAGAUAGUCACCACCGCUGUGCUGCUACCACUUGCCACCCCUCAUCGCUACUGUUGAGGAGUCGACCACCACCGUCGUUCUACGUUGUUGAUGUCGCCGACCAUCUCCGUCGAACCACCACCUUAUUCUAUUGUUCAGUCACAUACCACCAAGAAACACCGCCAUUCCACCCAUUUCCUCCCUAUCUUGCACCACCACAUCCCCUCCAUCACCAGUGUCACCCCACACUCUCUCCACUCGUAGUUCACAGCCAGAGGAGAGGAAGGAAGCGGCAGAGCUGCCGCCAAUCGAUGUUAUCGUCGUGAGUCCAAUCACCAUCGGCUGCCACCGCUAUAUCGCCACCUCCCACUGCUGUUUUGGAAGUUCUAACUACCGCCACCCUCCUGUUGCAGUAACAACAACCAUCUCCACCUUCGUUUCGAUUUUGGUCUCCUCCGUUCGUACCAUUUGAGAUCAAUAAAGACCAACGAAGUGGGUCUCAUAUUUCCUUUUUAUAUUUAAUAAUAAUAAUUUUAUAUUUAAUAAUAAUAAUAAUUUUAAAAAGUGAAAGAAAAAUGAAAACUAAAUUCAUGAGGGUAUAAUAGUCAUUUUAGUUUGUACAGGGACCAAAACUGCAUGUAAACUACCUUAGAAUGACCACCAGUCCAAAAAAAUCGUGGUUUGGAUUAAAACCCCAAAAAAAUGCAUACCACAAUGACCAUUUUUGCAAUUUUAGAAAACAAAAAAACCCUAAAAAUCAUAAAAAUGCAUAAAAAAUACCAAUACAUCACAAAACUUUUUUUUGAAUUUUUUUAUCAAAAAGUCGCAGCAUUUUUUACAAUUUCGCUGAAAAAAAAUUAAAAAAUCUUUUUUUUUGUAAAAUUUUUGUUUUCAAAUUUUUUUUUCAGCGAUUUUGACUUAAAAGUUGCGAUUUUUUGAUAAAAAAAUUCAAAAAAAGUUCUGUGAUCUCUAAGUAUUUCUUUUAUGCAUUUUAAUGAUUUUUAGGGUUUUUUGUUUUCCAUAGAACCUAAACCUCUACUUCGACAAUUUUCCUUGGAUGUACACAUGUUUAAAUAUGAAGAAUGGUGUCGGGAAGUAGGAGGUGAAAUAGAUGACCCAACAAAUUUUCAGAAUCUGGUAAUAUAUGAUCUACUUGUUGGUGCCCCAAAUUCAGUAUACGUUCUUCUCAUAGCCACAUUUCGCCUCUCCAACUUCUGCCUAAAGUGUAUUCUGUUUGAUCAGAGUUCGAUUCAUUUCUUGGCUCAACAUGAUAGUAAAGAUUUUGACUAGCACAAGUAACCAGGUAAAGAGAUUGUUUUUUGCACCACACAAUUUUGGAUCGGUUGCAACCAUUACCUCUUUUUGGCUGUUGAAUAUCAGGAGAUAUUGACUUCACCAAAACCAUCGGGGAAGUUCUAGUAAAUUGAGGUAUUUUUCUUCUUUAAUCUGAUUUAAAUACUUUAAGAGCUAGUUGAAUAUAUGCUUAUGUAAAGUUCUAGUAAUUUAGGUACUCGAGAUCCUUUAGUUUCAAAAAGUACAUUUAUUUCUUAUUUGAUUGAUUUUUAUAUAAUAUAUUAGGGUUGUGUUCUUACAAAUUACAACUCAUUUGUUUGUAGCUUCGAGAUCUGGUUUCAUUCAACCAUUCUGAUGUUGAUUUUGAAGUGAAAUCGGGUGAUAGAAUUUGGAAGAUGAUUAUUGAGAAGAUAAUCACACCUGAAGUCGUUGAGCUCGAUGAUAUUGAUUCAAGUGUACGAUGUGCAUGUGAGGUUGGAUCAACCGUAGUUUGAUUUCUUAUGUUUGACAUUAAUGGAAGCCACCGGUACAUUCUAGUUCUUCUUCUUUGGAGAUCGUACAAGUUUCUUUUUGUGUUAUCUGAAAGAACACUUUUUUAUUCUGAAACAAAUUUAAAAAUUUCAUCUGCUCUCAUUGACCUGUUCUUAUCGGGGUGAAGAACAACCAUUUUCUUGUAUUGUUUCUUGAGUGAUGAUUUGUGUGUGUGAGAGAGAGAAAGAGGGUGUGUCCUUUUUAUUUUUAAUUAUUAAAAUGAAUAAAAUAAAUGAGAUUUAAAAAAUAAAAGAAAAAUAGAAAAUAAAUACCCUGAGGUAUUGCAAUCAUUUCAGUUUACUAAGAGACCAAAUCCGCAACAAAAUUAGCCCAAAAUGACUAUUUUGCAAAUUUUUCUAUAUUGUUUGCACCAAAUAUUAAACCAUCUUUAUCAUUUUGGUAUAAAAAAAUGAUAUAAUAUGUUGGAGAUGGUAAAUUUCUUUUGCCCCUAGAAAAUCAAAAAUCAAUCAAAAAGCGGAGUUUGGUCUGUAGGUACAAGGAAUACAUGCACGAUUAAAAACUUGAAAUGUAUGGAUGGAGGGUAGGCACUCCACUAGAACCAUAUCAAUAUAUACUUGUAUCACAAAUGUUAAAUCAAGAAAAGAAAAUUUAUAUUUUCACAUAGAUACUACUUACAUACGAUUAUCUAUUUGCCAAUUCAAAACAAAUACACCUUGAUAACAAAAAAUAAAGUAAAUCAAAACAAUACCAAAACCAAAACCAAAAACGUUACAAAAUACAUAAGGUGGUGACAAACUAAAAGAAAUUUCCGCAUUAUAUUAUAAGAAAAUUUUGGCACACAGAUUGCAUGCAUCGUUUCAUAACUAAAACAAAACACCAUACUACUAGAUAGUGAAAGUGAAAAGGAGGGAGGCUAGGAACAACCAAAACACCUACUUAUUGAGCAUAAAUGUGAUGGUGCAGGUGGUGGGUCCAUAUCCGUAUCAGGCUUGUUCUUGUUCUUGUUUGCGGGAAGAUGUUUUAAAAAUGCUUUUACAGCACCAUCCACUCCGUCCUCCUUCUCCAUGGCCUUUGAAAGUUCAACCGCUCGUUCCUUCACCUGCAAUAAUAUCUCCCAAAUCAUGGCAUGUUGAAACUUGAAAUAAUAUAUAGUUGGUUGAUUACCAUUACCUUAGGAUCUAGCAUGAAUUUAAUUGCGUCUAUCAAUUUGGGAAGUGUAAAUUGAUCAACUGGUAUGGGUGGAGGACCCACGCCUCUUGCAUGAACUCUUUCUCCCCAAAAUGGUUGAUCACCAAAGAAAGGUACGAUUGUGGUUGGACACUGGAAAAAAAAAGAAUUCAGAAAUAAAUAAUCAAAUAAACAAACAAAAAAAAAGUGGAAAGAAGCUAUUACCGCAGCUUUAAGACCAGCAGCUGUUGUUCCAGCACCCCCAUGGUGAACCUGGAAGCAAAAGAUUCAUUAACAUUUUAACAUUGUUUUUGUAAUCAUAUUUAAUAAAUUAAUUAUUUGUAAAAUUAAACAAACUGGAAAAUGAGAUCUUACCACAGAUGCACAUUGUAAGAAAAGCCAGUCAUGAGGGAUGUUGUCCAAGGAGUAUAUAAAAUCCUUAGGUUCUGUUACUGGAGGAUAAAUUUAGCCAAGUUAGCCUGAUUCCAUGAAUAAAUAGACAAUCCCAUAAACAGAAAUCAAAAUUACAAAAACUAAUGGUAAUAGUAAGAGUAAAAACAUAUAAGGAAAUAAAAAAAAAAAAAACUUACAGUUGCCAAGACCACCCCAGCCUUUGUUGAUGAUUCCCCGCUGCCCAGUAUCUUCUAGAGCUUUAACAAUUAUUUGUGUCAUUUUCUCAGGCUCUUGAACAGGCUGACAGUGAAAUUUCAAAUUUUAAAAGAAAAAAAAAACACUACUUUGGAAAUGAAAAGAAGAACUGUAGAGUUGAGUUUAUUGCUUUUACAAACAGGGCCAUGAAUAGGAACGCUUAUAUGAGGUUGCAUUUUCAAACCCAAUGAUAUACAAUUUUCAAUCUGAAUACUUAUUUUUUUGGAUAAAAGAUAUGCAUAUCUUGGGACCAACUUUAAGCCAGGAAACAAAAAAGAAAAAAGACUCACAAGACUACCAAACCCAAUGUAGAUAGGCUUGGGACCAGCUUUAAGCCAGGUUACAAGUUCUUGAGGAGGUUCAUAAUUUGAAGCAAGGUCAAGAAAACAAAAUCCAACCACGUCAAUCUUAGGUCCCCAGUCUGCAAAAACAAUGUUAAAAAAAAUAUAUUUAACAAAACAAAAGGCACACUUGAGUCUUGAGAAUUGGAAGGAAAAGAUAAGUUAGGGCAAACGUCCUUUCCCUGAAUUUCAAAAUGAAACACACCCAGAUAUAGCUUACCGGAAUACGCCAUGUCCCCUUUAACCACAUUAAGUAAAAAAUAAUACAACUCCAACCAAACACUAGCAUUGCAAACAACAUAAUGCAAGGUACCUUUCGGUUUAGGAACAAGGUGAGGGCUCCAUAUAUAUCCAUGUGGAAUAUCAGACUCUGAGCCAUGUGAGCCACUUAAAUAUGUGACUGGCCGCAGCUUUAGCUUUUUCUUCCUAACAUCAUUUAUCAUGUCCCGGAUUCCAAGCCAAAUCAAAGAAUCAACAAUUUGAUAUGACAACUGCAUUACCUCACACAAAACCACCAAUAGAAUCAGAAAAGCUAAAUCACUAUUAUGGUAAGUCAAGCAAUGAACUUACCCGAUAUCCAGCUGAUUGCUUCACACGGGAUAAGGGAUGAGGAAAUUCACUAGUUGGCCUGUUUUCAACAAAUUGCAACUCAUUUUGUAAAAAAAAAAGAUGGUUAGAUGGGAGACAAAAACAACAUUUAAGCUGGAAAACUGAUAAUCUAACAUGAUUUUUUCAUGAUUGAUUAGACAAAACUUGCAAAAAUAUAUAUCUCCUAAUUCAGAAAAAGACUUACGUCCAAGGCAUUGUAAAAAAUAUAUGAAUGGGUAUUUUCAGUGCCUCCGCAACAUGCGUAUGUCCUGCAAACAUUUUUUUUCUCAAAAAAAAAUGGAAGAAAAAAAAAAGAAAAAAGUUACUGAAAGUAGUCUGCAGAAAAACAAUACCGUAUGCUGGGGGAUUGGCUAUAAUUGCCUCGGCUUUAAACGGGAUUCGAGUAUCAAGAUCAGGCUCUUUACAUGCUGGGAGUAAAGAAAAGAUUAUAUCCUUCAUCUGACUUCUCUGAACAGGAAUCUCAGAAGGACCUGAAGGCAAGAACCCUUUGUUCUUAACCAUGUCUGCAACGCAUGACAACAGGUAAUGGCACUUCAACUUCAAGUCUAGCUCAUAAUAUCAAAUUGUUUUGUGUUGAAGAAGGAGCAGUAAUUAAGGACAUACAUUCAGCAAGAACUUUAGGGUCUCCACCAAGGGGAUAAAACUCCAAUCCAGCAGUCAAGACAAACUCCUUGAAAUUUGAAUGGGUUGCUAGUCUAACACGAUGGCCAUAUUCCUGAAAGAACAUAAUCAUUUGUGAAAAAACCAUUCACAUUCAUAAAUCUAUUAAAAUCCUCAUUUCAUAACAAAAAUGACACCUGCAAACGCUUUCCAAUUGCAACAAAUGGUUGCACAUCACCACGAGUUCCAACAAUAAGCAUGACUAUCUGCAAUGGUGGAAAAUACCGAGGUUCAGUUGAGUCAAGAGGGUCUUCAUUGCAUGCAUCAUGAACUCUCCCAUCUCCAGGACCAUAAUCACUGGGCUCAACAUCUGCAGGUAUCUCAAAUUCUACCGUUCCAUCGUCUUUUACAGUAGCAAUUCUGUUCAACAAUUUGAGCUGCAAUGUUUUAAAUGUUUUAACAGAAAUCCCAGACAUGCAUGCGUAGAAGAUCAAGCAGCUAUAUCAAACCAAUAAACACAUAUACAUCUAUAAAUCUGUCUGUGUGUGGUGUACCUUCUGUUGAACAGAUAUCUUUUCAUCGAAUAUUUGAGAUGCCUCUUCCACAAGUAUGUUGCUACGUGUAGGCUUUUCGGUUUUUGAUUUUUCCAGUUUAUGUUGACUGGAAGGUGAGUCUAACUUGUCAGAAGUCGAUAGUUCUGAUUGUAAUUUACGCAGUCUAAGUUGACUGGAAGGUAACUCCAACUUAUGAGAACUCAUGAUUUCUGAUGGUAAUUUAUGUGAACUAGGUAAGCUCUUUCCAUCAGACCCUGCAUGAUAAGUCAUAACAAAACUGAGAUCAAGGAAAAAUGUUGCAAUAUAAAGCCAAAGUCUCCUCGAGCUUGUGAUUAUGGUAAAGAAUAGAACAAACUAAUUCAAAUGAUUCAAGACUGAACUCUUGUAAGCCUAUAUAUAAAUGGUGAACUCUGAUUCCAAAUCAUCACUAGUGAUACUUAGACCAUCAACAGACAAAAUUUUACAUGAUUUAUCUCUUUGCAUUUGUUUUGAUAACUAAACUCACAGUGUGAGUUUAUAUCUGAUCCUAAACUCUUUUUCACAUCUUCAAUUUAGCAUAUAAACAAUUUGAGAAUAUACUGUUCUCCAAUAUUUCAACAUUGUCUUGUAAAACAUUAAUAUCAAAAAUAGUCAUUUGUUAAAAGCGGCUGAAAGCUUCAUAUAUUUACUUUAAGGUUUACUCAAUUCUGGCAUUCACGAAAUCAUGAUUUUUGCAUUUUAAGAAAUCGUAAAUUUCACAUUAACAAAUGAAAAUUUUCAGGUCUGAUCAUAAAAUCAAUGCCUGGCCUUUUUUUCAAAUUAUACGUAGGAUUUUAGUUGAUAUUACCAGACAAACGUUAUGACAUUAUGCAAAAUAAAAUUUGAGUAUAAAAAUAUAUAACCUUACAUAAACGAACGAAAAUGGCAUAAUUGGCUUUUUUUCCAGUGGUUCCGAUAUUGUAGAUAGAUUACUAAAAUUCUGUACAAAUUAUUGGAAAUCAACUACUUCGAUAUUUCAAUCAAUGACCUCCGAUCAUUCGCUGCGCUACCGGCAUUUACUAACAGAAUCAGAACAAAAAAUUAAAACCCAAUAACCUGAAGAAUUAGCAGCGCCGUUAGAAACAGGGCCACCGGCAUCAGCAGCAGCAUCGUCUCGACAGUUAUCUAUUUCCGCUCCACUGAUUUCGCCAUGAACUUUUUUCUCGGACUCAACAUAAACUUCUCCUGCACUAGAUGAAGAAGAGCUUGGUUUAUCCUGAUUCUGCACCGGUUCAGGAGACGGCUCCACGGUCGGUUGAGCCACGUCCAUCUCCGGCGGUGAAGUCGCCUGCUUCUCCCGUUGUUUUUUAUCCAGAUCUAUAGAAUAUGCCGGCGAUUUCUGGUUUUCCUGCGUAUUAUAGAAGCAGGAUGCAGCUCCGGAACAUCAACGCGGUCGGGGUGGGAGAGAGAGAGAAAGGGAGAGAGGGACACGUUCCAAGUGAGUGGUGAGCGAAUACGGAAUAACGGUAGAAGAUGUACAACUACGUUUGUAAAGGGAUGAAAAAUAGCUUUAAACGUGCAAGUUGCUAUAGCAUAGUUGCUCUGCAUUUAGUCUUCUUUGUCCUGGAAAUAUAUUUUAUCGACUUUUUUUGGUAAUGUAAAUUCGGACAAUAGUCAAAAUAAAAUCAAAUGCAAUAUUUAGUGCGAUAUUUUCUAGAAAAGCCAACGGAUAUUUAGUGAAAGUAUAAAAAUACAUGAAAAGCAAACAAAAUUUCACCUUUGGUCCUUGUGGUUUUUUGAAAAAUAAGACUUUUAGGAUAAUUUUGAAAGUGUUGCAUCAAUGGUCCUUAUAGUUUCAAAAGUAAACACGGUAGCCAUUUUAGCUAGGGAUGAGCAAAAGAACCGAACCGGCCCGAACCGGACCGGAACCGGGAACCGGCUUCGGCCAAAAUCAAGACCCGAACCGGCCCGGCGGUUCUAUUGGUUUCGGUUCUAUCGGUUCCCGGUUCCUACCGGUUUUUGUCGUUUCUUCAAAUGUUGGAACCGGUCCUCAAAAAAUAGCAUCAUACGGUUCCGGUUUUUGCCGGUUCUACCGUUUUUUGCCGGUUCUUCCGGUUCCGGUUAUAUCGGUUCCGGUUCCUACCGGUUCCCGGUUCUAAAAAUCCACAAAAAUAACGUCCCGGUCCCGGCCCGACCGGUUCCAUCGGGUUCCGGUUCCGGUACCGGUUCAGGUCGGUUCCCCAGUCCAUAUGCUCAUCCCUAAUUUUAGCCAUCUCCGUUAAAAAAAAUAUUGUUAAAAACAUCUUAAUUGCCCAAUUUCUUCUAAGCCUUAGUCUCUAUUUGUACCAAAAUACAUGUCAAAAUAGUAGGUUAUAUGUUGGAAAUGCCUAGUAAGUAAUAUUUGGAUUUUAUCACGUUUAUAGUCAAUGAAUCGUUUAUUAACAUAUGAUGUAUCCCCAAAAACUUUUGAAACUUUUUGAAAUACUCUUUUGUAUAAAAAAUCAAUUACUCUUUCCUCAUCUGAAACAUUAUUUAGAAAUCAUAUAAAUAGUUUAUUAAUCAAUGUUCAAAUUAUUGACUCUUAAUCUAAAAUUCUUCAUCUAUUCAUUUUAAAAACACUACGUUUUCUCAAAACUCUUUUUACAGCUCAUUACUUUUUUCAUCUUGAAAUGUUUAAAAAAUAUAACAGUCAUAUAGCACAUAAAUGGAAGAAUGCAAUGCAUUAUGCAACUACAUUCAUCCUUGUUCCUCUUACUGUCUCAUUCACCGUUUUCUCAUUUUGAUAGCAAUGAAGACUAUGAUAUAGUUAGCACAAAGCAUCCUACAUCAUGACUUCUCUCGUUUUGUAAUUAGUCAUCAUCAAGGAUACGGGUGAACUAUCUGUUGGAUUAAGGUGUCUAAGCCUGUAACUAAAUUGGUAUAUAUUCUUUGUAAUUAGAAACAAAGUCGUUUUUUGGUUGCCCUCAUAACUAGAACUUGGUUAAAAUGACAUUUAUAGAGAGAGGAUGAUUUAUUAGAUUAUUAUAUGAUUAAUAAACUAAUUGGAUAUUUCGAGGAAAUAAUUUAUUAAUAUAUUAUAUGAUUAAUAUAUUAAUUAGAAAUAGAAAAUUGGCUUGUUACUUUAUAUGAUUAAUAAAUUAAUGUGAAACGAAUUAGAAUUAAUUAAUUAUUAAUCAAAAUUAAUUUGGAAUUCAUUUUGGAUUAAUUGGAAUUAAUUAAAUGUCCAAGCGUUGAAUUGUAACUUUUAAUGAUUGAGCAAGGAAUGAAAAUUCUAAAACCUAUAUAGGUUGUGAACGAAAUUAGGAGGAUUCCAACGGUUUUCAGAAGCCUUUUGGUGGUAAAUAAGGAAAAUAUUUGAAUUUGGAAUAAAUCCAUUAUUUAAUCCUUCAUAUCUUGUUUUGUCCUUAAGUUACCUAAACUAUAAAUAGGACCCCCAAGGAGAUUGAAGUGAUUUAUUUACUACAACAAAUCAAAGGUAUGUAACCCUAAUCCCAUGAUUUCGAUAAUAUUAGGGCUUAUGUUAGUUUUGUUGUUCAUAGUAUACUUCCUUCAAAGUGUUAUGACAUAGACCCUUUAUAGGAUGUAUUUACCCUCUUAAUUUUUAAGUGUUUUCCGUAUUGUACAUGAUUUUGUAUUACAUAAAACUCAUCAGUGGUAUCAUAGUUUAGGCUUAUCAAACAUUGAUUGCAUAUUAGUUGAAUUAAACAAAAAAAAAUUAUGUCAGACUAAUCUUACGAUGUGACAGUUAUCUGUUACGUCGUGAACUCAGUAUAAAUCCAGAAUUUCAGGAUUUCUUGCCUAAUCUGAUUUGUGUUUGUUAUUUGGUAAUUAUCUGCUUAGAAAUAAGUUAGAAUCCUAUUUUUCAUGUUUUGGAUGAUUAAAUAAAAUCCCUAAAUAUGACUACCUUCAUCCCAAAUUAAUUGUCCACGUUUGACUUUUGAAGUCUUUAUUCUUCAGCUUUGACAUGAAUAUUUUUGUUUUUAAUAGAUAAUAUUCGAUGCAAAAUAUAUGAAUGGAUUGUAUUUUAAAUGUCUUUUCAUUGUUAUAAGUUUUAUCAAGUAAUAUAUAACACAAAUAAAAAUAUUUAAAAUCAAAGUUAAAAAAAAAGAUUUCAAAAGUCAAAAAUGGAUAAUUAAUUUGGGACGGAGGGAGUAUGAGAUAUAUUUACUUGAUAAUUAUUUAAUUAUUUGACUAAUUAAAAUUGAAUUACCAAUUAUGAAUUUAAUAGUCAAUUUAAUUAUAAGAUUAAUUAAAAGAUAAUUAUAAAUCCAUGAUAAGUUUAAAUUGAUUAAUUUAGAUAAUUAAUAUUUAUAUCUUAUAUUUUGAAAAGAUUUAAAAUACACCUUAUACUAUAUAUGAUUAACUGUUUAAUAUAUUAUAUGUAUAAGACAAGUCAGUCAAAUCAUUAGUAGACCUCAUUUACGAAGCCAUACUCCAAGAAGGGUAUAAAGAUGAUGGCCUAUAAGAUAGCCGUUGAAUGAGUGUCCACUCUCACCCACCGCUCCCAUGUAUGGUGAAGGGUUGUUAGCAGAACGAGUUUGAUAGGACAUAACCUAUAAAAGUAUGGUACCACAAAGUAACUAAACCUUUUAUAAAUCUCACUCUAGUUACUUUGGAAAAAAUGUGAAAUUGUAUGCUAAUCCAUGAAAAUGCACAUUGUUUCCUUAUGGGUUGUUAGUGGAACAUGUGUGGUUAACCGACACACUAAUUUGGGAUUAUAAAGGUGAAAUGAUGAAACAGCUCGUGUUUAUGAUUGUUGAUAGAGCAUAUGUGGUUAACCGAGAGAUUAUAAAUCGAUCGAGGGUGUUUGAGCGGGUUUGCAUGGUUAUUCACAUCUUAAUUGUGAUCCUCGACAUCCCAGUCAUAGUUAGUAAGAUCAUAAUCGAGAUUAAAUAUGUUAUUGAUAAGAUUCAAUGAAUCUCAAAGAUCUAUGAGUUUCAUGUGAUUGAAAUUGGUGAGAUGACUCUACCUACCUAAAAUAGAUUCGAAUUUGAUUACGACAUCCCUCUUCAAAGGUCAGAUUGAAAAUAUGGAGCAUAGCCUUAAUUUAAAUUAUGGGUUAAUAAUUAAGGAUUAAAAUAAACUAAUUUGAAUUCUCUCUUCUCCCAAAUUUUAGAUGUCAAAUCAAGACAAUGAUGGUCUUCCUCGUUCUUCUGAAGAUAAUCUUCCACAUUCUAAUAAAGGUGAAAAGGAUUCUCUUCUUCGGGGAAUGAUGGAACUGGACAUCAUGCUUCUUUAAUUCUUCCACCUCAUCCUCAUGUGGCUCUCCCAACGUCAUGUUUAAUUUGAGUUGAAAGAUAUGAAACUACUUAAUCCCUACUGGCAUGUAAACAUGAAGAUGAAAAUGUUAUGUGUGCGCACGUUCUGAAAAUGAAGUCAAACAAUGACAAAUUGGAAAGGAUGGGGGUCAUAUUCCCAAAUGAGCAAGUCAUUGAUUUGGUUCUUCUUUCUCUUCCCGAGUCAUAUGGUCAGUUCAUUAAGAACUUUCAUACGAGGAAUCUUGAUGUGGCCCUAAUUGAUUUGUAACAUCCGGAUUUUUCGGAUGCAUUAAUGUGUGUUUAACCUUGAGACUUAUAGAGUGACUCGACGAGUCAUGAGUCCGACUCACCGAGUAGGGCCAAGUUGCCAGUGUGGAAUUAAUGAGUGGACUCGACGAUUCAGAGAUUGUUGGUCAAAGAAACCCUAAUUUCCCGGGGGUUGGGGCCUAUAUAAGGGAACUUAUAGCCUCAUUUGCAGCUCACCUUCACUGAGAAUAAACCCUAACGUCCUUUUUGCUAGAGAGUGUGAAAGGAGCUAAUUUUGGGGUCUUUUGGUACAAUUUCUUUUGAAGAGGAGAAAAGGAUUCAUCAAGGAACAAGAAGGAGGUCAGUGGAUCGGUGUUAUUUCGUCCAAGAGCUUCUGGAGAAGGUAAAAAGUUCCUACCUUUCUCCUUGUGGUGAUUAGAUCUCAUGUUUUGAUGAUUAGGUCUUUCUAUCACCUUUUUGUUGAGAUAUGAGUACAUGGAGUCCCUUUCUAAGUCUAGACUUCAGAUCUGGACCUUGUGAGGUCCAGAGGGUCCAAAGGCUCAAGCUUUAUUCAGCCACUUAAAGAGUUAUGGUGUUUUGGUGCCUUUUUGGAGCAUGUAUUGGCAUUUUGAGCCUUUUAUGCCAUGUUUGAACGUAAAGCUUGCAGCUUUACGUAACAUCCGACCCUUAUGGUGGUAGAUCUAGUGUUUGGAGUGAUAGAUCUACCUUAAUUCGUCUGAAUAAGGAGUCUGAUCAAAGGGACUCGCCGAGUCCAUGGCCUGACUUGACGAGUCGGUGAGGGUUUGUCCCGAUGAAUUUGAUUGUGCGAUAACUCGGCAAGUUGGGGUCAACUUGACGAGUUGAGCUGGACUUUCUUGAGACUUUUGAGUAAAUGAGGGGACUCGAUGAGUCGCAAUAGUGCACUCGACGAUUCGGGUCAAACAUGGACUGUUGACUUGAGUUUGACUUAUGUUGACUUUAGGUUUUGGUCAACAUGAGUAAUGGAGACCAUGGAGGGGUAAAAUGGUCUUUUACCCAAUUCAAGAGUUGAGAGAGAAGAAUAACAUUUGGUUACUUAGAGUCAAGAAUCGAGUAUUAAUUAUAAAUGUGUACCUUAUGUGUUAGGCAUUAGCUAGUUCGAGAUUCGAGUUCGAGGAUAAUUGCUUGCUGCUAGCAAGGUGAGUUUUCUCACUAUACUUUACCUAGAGUGGUACUUAUGUGUGACCGGAGGGUCUUAUGUGCUUACAUUGAGUAUUAUGUUAUCCUGCCUUAUUUUUUAUGUUGUGCAUUAUGUCUUUGUGAUUUAUGCUAUGCAGAGCUUUACAAACCAGACCAGAGGGUCCAACGAACCUUGGAACUGGAGGGUUCCACUGAGACACAUAGACCGGAGGGUCUUACAGUGAUAAAGCCUCAAGUGGCUAAUGAGUUAUGUGUGUUGUAUUUUGAGGAACUCAUUAAGCUUCGUGCUUACCGUGUUAUGUCUUAUGUGUUUCAGGUUUUCUCAGGAUCGUGGGAAGGCACCAGUUUGAUUGUACACACCAGUGAAAGAGUUAUGUUUGAAGAUCCUGGAUUUUAAUCAAACAAUUAUGGAGUUACGAUUUUUAAAUUAAAUAAAUGAGAUUUUUGUGAAAUGUGUUAUGAGAAUUAUGCGAUUUUAAAUGAAAAUUUUAUUUGAAAAUUUACGAUGUUGCAUGAUUUGACCAAGAUGUUGAUAGUUGUUGAAGUAGAAAUGUUUAAGAAAGCAUAUGAAGCAGAGUUGCUUAAGGGGUCUAAUUCCAAGAGUUCAAUGGACAUUGACAAUGGUAACAUUGGUGAUACAAAAAAUAUUUCUCUUCCCUAUGGAAAGGGGCCUACCAAAUCAAACUGUUUGAUCGUAUGGUAAAGAAAAAGUUCAAUUUUGGGAUCAUUCCAUGUGUUAAACCCAAAGAGUCCAUUAGUAUCUACUGUCAAUUGAAGGGACACUAGUUGCGAAGCUGCUUAAAAUACUUGAAGGAUCUUAAAGAUUGGGAAGUCAAUUUGUGUGAAUCUACUUUAGGUACAUCCAAAAUCUAACCCCAUAAGUUCCUAUUCUUAAAAUCUUAAUACAUUUCGAUGGCAUUUCAGGAUCUAAAAGAAGGAAGGAAGCUUGAGAGAAGUGAACUAAAUCUGAUCAUGGGAAAUAGACUUUGGUCACAUGUAUCGAUGGUCAGAAUUUGGAGCUGCUAUUAAGGAGUUAGAAUAAUUUGAUACAAGAUGUGAUGGUCACAUUUUGUGGUGAUACCUCCACCACGUCGUGGUCAACCAAAAUUCACAAUUUACUUUUUAAAUUUCGUACCUCGAUGAUCCGGAUGUUAAAGAUCUGGCUCUUCUCAUUAACUUAAUGGAUAAAGUUGGAUCACCACAAUGCAUGAUCUUAAACCCUAAGUCCUUUAAGCUCUCUAAAGGCUACGUAUUUGUGCAUGGACUCAAUAGAACCCAAUCAUGGACCUUUUUCCCACUUAGCAGAAGUCUAAUAACCAAAAGAGUGUUAUAUCAAACUCUGGAGUUCCUCAAACUCCAAGAGCAUCCAUAAAAGGGACCAAAACCAACCAUAGUGAGCACAAACUUAUAUUUAAAAGAACAAAGGUCAAAGUAUAAACUUUAUGCCUCAAAUGACUCAGAUAUCUGAAUAAGAUGAUGGAUCUAAGCUAGAUCCUUCUUUCCUUACACCAAUAUGGAAUGCUUUCUUCCUUAAGCUUCACCAAACCAUGAGAGGAAACUUAAAACUAAGCAAACAAUCUCACAACCAAGUAUAGAGACUAGGGUUUUGAUUGGGGAGGACGGAGGCUGAAGAUAAUGACCUAAUCUUGGAGUUAAUGCCUUUAAAUAUAGGAGAAACCCUAUAAACUUGGGCUUGGGCUGCAACAGCAACCACGUAGUGGUCACUAGCUUGUCAUGUCAUGGCAGACCUGGACCAGCAAGCCCAAAAUCCAAUAUAAGCCCAACUUCACUUUAAGCACAAAGUCUUAUCACAUAGCCCAAGAACCUUAUUCCUUAAGGUCUAAACAGCCCAAACAUUCAAAUAAGAAUUAUCUCAAAACAGGAUGUUACAAAUAUGAUCUAUAAAAGAUUAGCAUCACAGUUGGAAUAAAACCAUGAUUUUAUCUGAGAAUCAAUGACAGUCCAAUCCUCAUCAUCAUCGCCUUGAGGUUAGGAUUUACCGAUAUUUGACCUUGACAUUUAGCACCCUUGCACAUAUCAAGAAAAAUACUACGUCAUAGUUUGUAUUUGAAGCCAUACACAUGUAAUUUAAAGCUAAAUUGUGGAUAGACAUUAGUGAGAACAAAAACCAAUAAGUAGAAGUAGAAGUAGAUGUCAUGAUGGGUGCUGCAAGAUGACAUAGUUGUCAUUUGGACCCGAUGAAAAUCGAAAAAUAAAUGCAAGUAUGACAAAAAAUAAUAAAUAAGAAGCUAAUAGUGAGAAGAUGGAAGGUAAUACGUAUGUAGUAUGAUCUAGAAGAAACAACAACAACAAUCUUGAAGAGGCAAUGAUCAACGAAAACAACAUACGUCAGGAACGAUGGAUGUCGGUGAUGCUAGGACAUUGUCAAAUAACAGCAAGGGUUGCGAUUGUGGUGGUGAGAUGGUUUGGUGGAGAUCAUAGACCGGGAUCAAAAGCAACAAACAAGUGAUCAUUUUUUUAGGAUUACAGGAAAAAGUUUUAGGCACUGUGAAACCCAAGACUUGAUAUCAUGAUAGAUUAUGUAGAAAACCUCUUAAUUAGGGUUACAUGUGUAGAUAUCAAUAUAUCCUCCCUAAUAAAUAAGAAUCUUAUUACCAUAUGUCAUUCUCUCAUUCAAUUUGACAAAUGUUAAUUUAUAACAUCUUGUUUGAAAUAGAGUAAUUAAAUAAUAAAACCGGAACCCCAAAAGGUAAAUUUAUAAUUGAUAUUAACUUAUAAUGGCCCUAAAACCAAUAAUAUUUAGCGGAGAGUGGUUUCGGGGAGCCAAAUGAUAUAAUUUGGACUUUCGAAGGUUAAAGUGUAAAUUCAGGAUUUAUUUCGUAAAGAUUUUUAAAAGUCAAGGCAUGUUUGGUAAGAUUAGGACUUAAUUUGAAGAGAUUUUGGGAGCUAAGGGCUUAAUGGUAAUAUAUGGACUUCUUUUGAAAAUAAAUUAUAAGGGAGGGGUUGUUUAGUAACUGUUGGAUUUAAUAUGAAAAGAAUUCUAAGAUUAAAGGUGUAAUAGGUAAAUAUGUGGACUGUUUUGAAAAGGUUUUAUGGAAGAGGGGCUAGUUGUGUUAUUAUGGGGAAUGAGCUUUGGAGGCGUCGGGUAUAUAGCUAGUGAAACCCUAAUCCUAAGGCAUGUGUUGCAACCGCUAACCCCUAGGCAUCGGUCGCCAUUUCCCCCACCCUCCUUCUUCACCUCCGAUCUCCGCCAUAACCAUAAAAGCCCCUUAACUACCGAUGGCAUCACCGAGUGAGACAACUCUCAUAUCCGCCUACUGCCUCAUCGACGAAUGCCACCAUUCCACCACCUGAUGCCACCUGUCAUGUCGUGUAUGGCCGGAGAAAACCCCGAGAACGAAGGGUGAGCUGUGAAUGAAGAAGAGCUGGUCGAGAAAGGCCAGGACCUCUCGGUUAGACCACCUUGACUCACAAUUUUGUCCUUGAUGUGUUCGUCGUCAUGAGCGUCAUCUGUUGCCGCCAGAGAAGGCUUGUGACUUCCACCCGCUUCGAAACUCUUCCCGCUGUCCCGCCNNNNNNNGUGAGAGUCGCUGCUGUCGUCGAUGGUGCUCCUGAUGCCGUCACUGUGCACCAUCGGGGGUGGCUAUCAUCGCGACCGCUUGCCGACAUCCAACCUCCUUCUGCCGCCGCCGUGAGCCACCAGGUGGGUGGCUGGGGUGCAUCUCACAAAUCAGUGUCGUGUGUGUUGAUUAUAGGGCUUGUGUGUGUAUGAUGUAGCUGGAAAAUCAAGAAAGGCCACUGCCACCACGAGCCACCGCCGGCCACCACUAGGGUGGUUGUGUGUGUGUGAUAGAGUAGUUAGUGUGUGUGUUUAUUUUUGGAUUAAAAGCCUUGUAACUGUAAUUAGCAUUGAAUAAUGGAAAAAUAAUAAUAACCACCACCGUAAGGUGGUGGCCGCCGCCGUAAGCCGCCAUUGACCACCACUACCCGAGGUGGUAGUGGGUGGUGCCCCACCAAGAAACCCUAAUUGACUUAAUGAAACUCUAAUGGGUUUAAGGAUUAGUUUUGGGCUUAUUGGGCCAUGUUUUGGUGAAAACCCUAAUUAGGGUUUAGAAAACCCUAAUUAGGGUUUAGAAAACCCUAAUUGUGAGUAUUUGGGCCUUAGACUUAUUUGGACCCACUUUUAGGCCAUGGGGGAUUGGAUUGUGUAUUAAGCCCAACUACACUAUAUGAUUUAUGACUUAAUGGAUUAAGGCUUAAUGGGUUAAGUAAGAAACACUAAACCCUAAUCGUCAUUUCAUUUGGAAAUCCUAAUUUCACUUGGGCCUUGAGUUGGGCCUUUCCAUUGGGUUUGGUGAUUGGACUAUUAAUGGACUUCCAAGAAUAAGCAAAUGGAUUAAAUAAUUAUAUGGGUUUUAGGAUAAGGCCCACGUCAGAGUCUUGGGCCCAAUUUGGAAAAUUAGGCCAUUGAUGGGCCAUAAUUGAGCCUUUAUGAUUAUGUGAUAUUGGGCUAUAUAUUGGGCUUUGGCCAUUACUUGACUUUUGGGCUUUUGGAGUUGGGUAUUAGAACCCAAUUACUAAUCGGGUAUUGUUUGAUGUUGACAAUUCGGGAAGCUGUCAACCAGCAACUAGAGUUUCAUCCGCGAGACUUCAACAGUGUUAGGUGAGUUAUCCUCACUAUAUCAGCAGGGUCUAAGGCACCAAAGCCGAUCCUUUAUGGAUUGUAUUUGGAUUGUGGCAUGUUAUGCUUAUUGAUUUACAUCCUGGUAGUUAGGAUGGUGAGAUGCUAUGUUAGUGACCUGUUAGGUCGAUAUCCUGGUUAUAGGAUUGUUGCUAUGCCUUGUGAUCUGUUAGAUCGGUUUCACUGUUAUAUAUAUACAUGCUAGUGUUAUAUAAUAUCUAUGUGUACAUGAUUGUCCUGGUUAUAGGAUGAUGGUAUGUUAGUGACCAGUUAGGUCUGUAUCCUGGUUAUUGGGAUGUUUCUAUGAUUGGUGAUCUGUUAGAUCGGUUUGAUUGUUAUAUGAAAUGAGCUAGCAUAUGAUAUUUAUGUGCACAUGUUUGUUUGGUUGGGGGUUGGGUUGAGGCGGUCCCGGUUUGUGUUGUAGGCCAACAUGCCCAGGGCGGUCCGGAUAAACUGAAGGCCCUGCAAAGGGAUUCAGUCAGGCCGAAGGCCCGACGAGUGGUCCGAAUAGGCUGUAGGCCCUGCGAAGCGGUCCAGACGUGUCGAAGGCUCGGAGAGCGGUCCAGAUAGACUGAAGGCCUGCGAGGCGAUCCAGUCAGGCUGAAGGCUCAUUAUGCAUGUUGUUCUGUAUUGGUUAUAUGAUAUGGUUAUGUUUGUAUGACAUUGGUAUUUUGGGGGUAACUCACUAAGCCUUCGAGCUUACAUUUAUUGAUUAUUGUUUCAGGUAUUCUGAUGAUCGCGGGAAGGCGAAGGCAUUAUCGUGCACCUCCUUACAUUUUCAUGAUUUAUUCUGGGGAUACUCUGAUGUUUAAAUUAUUUUGAAAGUAAACUGUAAUAACUUAAUGGUUUUAAAUGUUUUAAAAAGUUUUAAAUUGGCUUGAAUUUUUGGGUGUUAUACAAUUUAUGGUAAUUUAGAAAUAUUUAUUUUCCACUUGUCAUUUACUUCAUUUUUAAUUUUCCAAUAUAUAAUUAAUUUAGUUUCCAUAAAUUAAAUAUAUCAUAAUGACUUUAUUAAUUAUAAGUUUCAAAUUUCAAAUUUCAAAUUUCAAUUUCAUUUUUUAAUAUAUUACAGUUUAAACCAUUAUAUUUUACAUUUUAUUAUAAUUAACCAUUAUAGUACACAAGUUUGACAAAUAAAUACGUAAUUUUAAUUUAUUUAUUUUUUGCAUGUUUUUUAAAUUUAUUUUCUCAUAAUUUUCAUUUAUUUCAAAUUUCAUAUACUAAAAAACUUCAUGUUUAAUCCUUUCUAUCUAAUGUUUUGUUUUAACCAACCUGUAUAAUAUACAAGUCUCACAACUAGUAGAAUAAUAUAUUACAGUUGAGUCUCUAUACUAUACAAAUGAAUAUAAAUUAACAACCAAAAGUAUAAAAUAUAUGUCAAACAAUUUUACUUUUUUUAUAUGACAAGUCUAAUAAAAUUCUAUACUACUAAAUCCAACGGACGAAACUUGAAACCUUUGACCAUGGUGAAAUGACAACAUCUAAUAUCGUUGGGCUAAAAACUUUUUAAUAACAGUUUCAUUAUUAUUUAUAACAUGUAAUUCCUAUCUUAUGAUUCAAGUAUUGUUGGUUUAUAUUGUCAUGUGUUCCCAUGCAAGAUGAUAUUAGCUUACUUAUAAAGUUUAUUAGUACAAUAGAUAUAAUGUGUAGGUACAAGCAGUAAGGGGAAAGAAGUAUCUUUGAAGACCUAUUUUGUACCUUUAGAUGUAUUAUGUAAUAAUAUAUGGCGAGGAACAUACACACUACAUACAUCUAUUCGAUUUUGCACUAGAAGUGUAAAAAAAAUUAAAUUCGUCACAAAGUCUGAUAAAUGUAAAUUCAGUGUAACUUCAUCGGUAAAACCAUUUAUUGACGGAUUUUGUAAUAGAAACUACCGUCGUAAAUGAGUAUUUUCCUAGUAAUGCAACUCUUAAAAAUUUUAUGCAAUUCCUUUUUUUUUGUCCUGCUAUAUCUUGUGGGAUCUCCAUAAAAUAUGACAGGUAUGAUAGAACUUGGAUAUUUUUCUUUUAAUACGAACAUGUUGUAUGCUGAAGUGUUCCAUAUGACAUUUUUGAGGUGUAUACAGAAAAAUUACAAUUUUAAAAAUAAAAAUAAAAAAGGAAGAGUAAAUGCAAACGCACUAGGGUAGUUAUAUUAAAUUAAUUCAGAUACUUACCGACCUUUGAAAUUUAAAAAAGUUUUUCUCCUUUGAUUUAUAAACAUUCUAGUCGAUGGUCGGGACAAUCCAUUCCCCGCUCCAAGCUUUUACGAGCACAAUUCAAUCCAAAAGGUCUUAAUGUCUAAUUCAUACCCAUUUUUUCAAUCUCACUCAUCAUCGAAUCACGGUUUCAACGAAAACGAUUUCUGAUCCUCCUACAAUUGCCUGAUUCAAUACCAGAGACUCUCCGAUGGGUAAUGUCGUUCAAUUUUCAGCUUAUUUAAAUAUACUAUUCAAAAUUUGAUGCGCGUUAUAAUGAUUAGAAAACGGAAUGUUGUUAAUUGUCGACAAUUUUGAAAUUCGAAUGCUUAUAGCGAUGUCAAUUGUGUUCUUUUCAUCGUGUAAUUACAAAUUGAUCUUGUGUUAAGUCUUCUUCUUAAGCCAUAACAUGCAUGUAACGUUGAAUGAUGAAAUACAGAAGCGUCUUACUUCUGUUUAGAUAUUUGAUCGACUGGAAUGAUCACAUUUCAGGACUAGGUAAUUUUUUAAUUUAUGUCCCAUGGGAGGUUUUGUUCCGUUUGUUCCUUUGUAAUAAUCGUAAGCAAUAAGAGUCGGAAUUUAAGGAAUAUGUAAAAUAAAUAAAGAUCAUUCUUCCCUAAAAGUUGGUAUAAAUCUGAUAAUUAAUACCAAAACUUAUUUACGCUAUGAUUAAAUAUUGAUCAAGUAUGAUAGGUUUCGAGUUAUGUUGUCAUUGAUUAUAUAGAACUCUGGUAACGGUUGAAUUGUUUGUAAUCACAUUUGGUAUCUUAGAUGAUAUGAAAAUUCUGAUAUUCCAAAGUAGCGAAAUGCUUAUCAUGCUAUAUUUGUACAUUUUGUUCUUCUCAGUGGAUGCUGCAGCAUGUUGCUCCACCCAUCUCAUUGAUGGAGAUGGUAGUUUUAAUGCAACAGGACUUGACAAGUUCAUGAAGGAAGUAAAACUUGGUGAAUGUGGUCUUUCUUAUGCGGUUGUCUCUAUCAUGGGCCCACAAAGUAGCGGUAUAGAUACCUUUUUUCAAGUGUAAAAGUUACAUUAGAAAAUCCAUUUCAGUUGAUGCAAGUUCCAUCUGAUGAUUUCAGUGAUGCUUAUGUGUUUGGGACAGGGAAGAGUACACUUCUAAACCAUCUAUUUCAUACCAACUUCAGGGAAAUGGAUGCAUUCAAGGGAAGGCAAGUAUCUGUUUUGUUCAUUACUUCUCUUUUUUUCUGGCACCAGUUUAGCAAAAUGACUGCAUUGUCCUCCUAUCAGGUCUCAAACCACCAAAGGUAUUUGGAUGGCUCACUGUGCUGGCAUUGAACCUUGCACUAUUGUAAUGGAUCUUGAGGGCACUGAUGGAAGGGAAAGAGGAGAGGUUGUAUUCUGAUUUCUGAAUCCUGGUUUUUUAUGAUUCCAGGUUUAUUGUUCCUUUUAGUUGUUCACAGUUUUAAGCUUUUGAAUGCAGUUUACUGUUUUAUGAUUCCACUUUGGUGAAGUGUACCUUUUUCAUUGCUUGCAGCUUAGUAAAUUUUUGCAUGUUUCAGGAUGAUACUGCGUUUGAAAAACAAAGUGCACUUUUUGCUCUUGCUGUUUCAGACAUAGUGCUUAUAAACAUGUAAAUGUUGCAAUCUCUCUGACAUACAAUUUCACAAGGAUUUAACAAGUUUUAUAAUCUAUAUUGCCUUCCUCUUUAAAAAUAUAUGUUAGGUGGUGCCAUGAUAUUGGUCGUGAGCAUGCUGCAAAUAAGCCUCUGCUGAAAACUGUAUUCCAGGUAUGCCAUUUAUAGAUUUUUCUUUAGCUGUUCUCAUCAUUGUUAACACACAACAAUUUAACUUCCUAUUUCUCCUUUUCAGGUCAUGAUGCGGUUAUUUAGUCCCCGAAAAACAACUUUAAUUUUUGUUAUACGUGAUAAAACAAGAGUAAGUGUGGUUUAUCCAUCUAUCUAUCUAUCUUACACACUGCUGUUGAUGCUUAUUUGAUCUUUUUUCCUUUUUGUUUUCAUUAGACGCCUCUGGAAAAUUUAGAGCCUGUCUUAAGAGAAGAUAUCCAGAAGGUAAACUUUGUUAAACUUAUUUUUAUUUGUACUGAUACUCUUUUACCAAAGAAUAAAAGUCUAAAAUGUUCUUGAUGAUAGAUAUGGGAUUCUGUUCCCAAGCCAGAAGCUCACAAAGAAACACCACUGAGUACAUUUUUCAAUGUAAGAUACAGAACAUAUUACUCUUAGUUUACUUUUAACAAAAACUAUUUCUCACAAGUGUCUAAUUAUAUUAAUUAUUGUAUUUCUUACUGAUGACUUGACCAGAUUCAAGUUGUUGCUCUUUCUAGUUUUGAAGAGAAGGAAGAACAAUUCAAAGAGCAGGUAGAAGAAAAAGUUUUAUGUAUGAUAUCUUACAUGGGACACAUGACACAUGGACACCUUAAAUAACAUAUUAUUAUUAUUAUUAUUAUUAUUAUUAUUAUUAUUAUUAUUAUUAUUAUUUACUUUUUAUAUAUUAUGCAAGGUUGCCAAUUUGAGGCAAAGAUUCUACCAUUCUAUUGCACCUGGAGGGCUUGCUGGUGAUAGGCAGGGAGUAGUUCCUGCUUCAGGUUUUUCCUUUAGUGCAGAACAGAUAUGGAAAGUUAUCAAGGAGAACCGAGACCUUGACCUUCCUGCUCACAAGGUAAAUGUAGUUUUCAAAAUUCACUCUUUUUGAUUAUUUUUUAACCAUAUUCUGUGUUUUUACUGUGUGUGUGUGUGAUGUCUUUUGAUGCUUCUGUAGGUGAUGGUGGCUACUGUGCGUUGUGAAGAAAUUGCUAAUGAGAAAUAUGCUGCCUUUGUUGCGAACAAGGUUCAUUGUUUUCAUGUUUCAUUAGUUGAUGUUUUCCUUGAGAUAUUUAAACUAACUGUUUUUAAAAUGUUACAUACAGGACUGGUGCGAAUUAGAGAAUACUGUGAAGUCUGAAUUGGUGCCGGACUUAGGGAAGAGGCUUAGUGCAAUGCUUCAAACUUGUUUUUCAGGGUAUGCGCAUAAAUAAUUAGCAUAUGUCCAUGCAUAUGCACAUAUGUACUUAUUCUUGUUAUUCAUGUGCAUAUAACUAACUGUAUAUUGCAUUACAAAUUCAAGCAAAUUUGUUGGCAUCAUGUUUUUAUUUUUAGUAUAAAUUCCUUUUGCAGAUAUGACGAUGAGACUACAUUUUUUGAAGAAGGAGUUAGGACUUGUAAGAGAAAGCAAAUGGAAGAGAAGUUGUUGCAAGUAAUGUUAUGCUAUAUUCAAUUGGGAUUGUGGUAAAAUAUACUUUAUAUAACUUAAUUCCCCUCAUUAGUCAUUACUUGUUUCUUUUUUAGCUUGUUCAACCAUCCUACCACUCAACCUUGGGACAUAUAAAAUCUGAAACACUUGAAAAAUUCAAUAAAGCAUUUGAAAGCGCUUUGAGUGAAGGACAAGGGUUUGCAGUGGCUGCCCGUGAUUGCAAAACAUCAACCAUGAAACUAUUUGAUCAUCAGUCUGAAGGUAAUAAUAACAUCUUCAUAUAAUAUAACUAUUAUGAUAGUAAUAAAUAAUAAUUAUCAAUAUGCACAUAAAAAAAAUAUUGUCUUGAAUGUAUAGGUGCUAUCAUCAAACAAGCUGACUGGGACACAUCUAAAGUAAGGGAAAAGUGUUCAAACGAAAUCGAUGCACAGAUUGCUGAUGUUCGUAAUACAAAGUUAACUGAUCUUUCUACACUAUAUGAGGUAAUAAAGUUUUGAUAUAUACUUUUCUUUUAUUAGAUACUCAAGUUAAUUAUAUGUAUUUUUUUGUACAGUCAAAACUAAAGGAAGCAUUAUAUGGACCAGUGGAGGCUCUUCUACAAGCAACUAAUGAUGACACUUGGCCUGCAAUAAGAAAACUUUAUAAACGUGAGACUCAAACAGCUGUCACCGAGUGUUCUGCUGCACUUUCUGGCUAUGAAAUGAAAGAAGACUCCAAAAAAGAAUUCCUUUCAAAAUUGGAAAAUCAUGGUAGAGAUAUAGUUGAAAAGAAAGCCAAAGAAGAAGCUGGCAGAGUUUUAUCUCUCAUGAAAGAGAGGUACUGACACUGUGCAUUUCUACUUUUUAUUUGAAACUAUAUAUUUUUACUGUUCGUAUAAUUAAUUAUCUUAUACAGGUUUGUAAGCAUAUUUAAUCAUGAUAGCGAUCAAAUGCCUCGAGUUUGGACUGGAAAGGAAGAUAUUCGCGCAAUUACUAAAACAGCUCGUGCUUCUGUAAGAAUCUUAAUUAAUAUUAAAAAAAUAAUAAUUGAUGGCUGUAGAUUUUAACAUGUGAUAGUUCUUAUUUCAGUCUUUAAGGUUGCUAUCUGUGUUGGCUGUAAUUCGUUUGGAUGGAGAUGCUGAUAAAAUUGCAGAUAUACUAGUCCUUACUCUAUUGGAUCCAACAAAAGUUGCUGUUAAAAGCUCCACAACAAACGAUCCAUUGGCCUCAAGCACAUGGGAAAAAGUAAUGUAUUUUUAUUCUAUUAUUAAUUAAUAUGAUUAUUUUGUUAGAUAUUUUAAUUUGGUGAUUUAUCUGGUGUUACACCUAGAUCCCAGCAUCGAGGACGUUGAUUACUCCUGUUCAGUGCAAAUCUUUGUGGUGUCAAUUUCAGAGAGAGACAGAGUAUACUGUAACUCAAGCUAUUUCUUCACAGGCAUGUUAUUAUCUUCCUAAUGUUAAUAUUAUCUCUGGGAUUAUUUAGCAAUUGCAUCUUUAUGAUUUUCGUUUUUCAGGAAGCUAACAAGCGAAGCAGCAACUGGUUACCACCUCCAUGGGCUAUUGCCGCUUUGUUCGUCCUGGGAUUCAAUGAAUUCAUCACUCUUUUGAGGUUCUUUUUUUGUAUUGUAUUUUUUUAUAAAGUCUCAAUAUCUGUUCAUUUUGAUUACCUCAGUACCAACCUUUCUCCUAUUUUAUUUUCCAGGAACCCGUUGUAUCUAGUAAUGAUUUUCAUCAGCUAUUUGCUUCUGAAAGCUUUGUGGGUUCAACUAGACAUAGGUGCUGAAUUCCGACAUGGCUUUGUAAGUGUUAAUGCCAAGAUUAAUAAAGAAUAGGUUGUUCAUGUAUAGUGCGUGCCAUGGAUUUCAAUGGGAUAAAAAUUGCAAUCUUGGUCCCUCCGAAAAAGGUGGAAACCAGAGACUCGAUGACCUUUCAUGUCCAUUUUGUUGUAUCUUUUUGGACGAGACAAAAGAUGCAAUUUUUGUCCCACGUCACAUCAAUCUCGUAGUUUAUUAUUGCAUGCCAAACUAAACGUACUAGCAUGUGUUAUAUAUGUGAUGUUAACGUAUGUAUGGUAAUUAAGAAAAGAAGUUGCAAUUAAUAUUUUAUGGGUUUUACUUUUGUUUAAUCUUGUCGAUUUCCAGCUUACAGGAAUUCUGUCGAUUUCCACCAAGUUUGUUCCUACCAUCUUCAAUCUUAUGAGAAAACUGUCGGAACAAGGACAAAGGCCCACCGAACUCCAAAAUCGUCCACACAGCUCCUAACUAAUAUCGAGGACAACGAGUUUCCAUAUAAUAACACUGGCAUCGCAUUUGAUCUGUAUAAGCUAGUAAUUUAAGUAAACGGAACCUAAUUGAUGAGGCCCUAUGGACAUGGCACACGUGGUGAACGUGAAUCAGAUCCAUACAUAUUUGUGCGUGCCGAUUUAACUGGUCAACUGUGUGAAUACGAUUCAUAUUAGGUUUUGAAGCAUCCUAGCUACACCCCAACAGUACCAUAUUCUAUUAAUUAGGCGAUUCUACUUGCUUGCUUGCUUUACAAGUUCCUUUUAAUGGUUUUCUCUUGUAACAAAGCCAUAUUUCUUGUGUAUUUUAGUGUAUGGAAUAUGUAUCCAUCGUGAUGCCAAGGUAAAUAUGUUCUUUCUAAAGACGACCCGAUUGUUAAACAAGACAAUUGUUUGAUCUGUGUUUGACGUUCAUGGACUGAGACUAUAUCAGUGUUAACAUGAGACAAAAGUUGUACUAUAUUUUGUCUCACGAAAAAGAUCUCGAAAAUUGGUAUUUUCGCAAAGAAACUAAAAAAGUGUAUAAAUAAAUCAUAAAGUUGUAUAAAUAAACCCACGUAUGUCUUUUGAAUACUGAAAUAUGAUGUCGAUGACUACUGAAAAAGCAAUUUUAUACAUUAUUUUAUUUUAUAGAUGGUUGAAGUUGAAAGUGAUAAUUUGAUCUUAUAUCCUUACAUUUUUUGGUCAUUUUAAUGAUUAGUUCAUUAAAACAGUAUUCGACUUAACUAGCAGUUGUGAAUUCAAAUUCUCAAUACAACAUAUGCAUAUUUCAUUUCAAUUAACAUGUUAGUGAACAAAUUAGAAGAUCUAAUAUGUUAUUUUCCUCCAAUGUUUUUUGAUUAUUUGAGUUUAACACUAUGCAUUUUGUAAGACACAUAAUUAUAAUAAAACCAAUAGGACAUUAUAGUUGCGAGUAACAACACUUUCCCUUUUUGCCCUCCUUCCCCAUUAAAACAUAAUUUACAUGAUUCAUUAAUGCCACUGAAAUAUAUAACUUGUAACAGAAUAAAAUGCCAACAGAACAUCCAUAACUAAAACCAAGCAACUCAUUUUUCUCUUUUGAAAUUGCAAAAACAAAUAACCCUUUAUAAAAGAAGAAAAACAUUUUGCCUCUCUUUCAAAAAAAAAGAAGAAGAAAAACAUGAUCCCUAAGUUAAAUGAUGGGUUGAUUUAAGUAUUAAUCAUUAUACAAGUCAACAAAAAGAAAAGCAAUAAUUAAAGCAGCUAUGAAAAGCAAGAGAAAAACUUGGCAACUUUUGUUCCUCUGUAUGGCUUGAGUUAGUUCCUUGUUACCCAUCUCAACAUUCUUUGUUGCUUCAACCGCCUAUAAAUAAAUAAAUAAAUCAGAUACUACCAAUAUAGCAUUCUACUUUAUGUUGGCAUUAUUAUAGUUAAGGAAUUGCAAGUGCAUUGAUAUUAUUGUAAAUAAAUAUUGCCUAUAUUGGUACAAAGAGUAAAGUACAAUGCUAUUUCUGACCUGAUCAUACAAAUACUCAAUUUGUUGAGCCUGUUGCAAGACAUGUGUUGACAUUAGAUGAUUCAAUGCUGACAUCUCUACCAUCUUUGUUUCAGUGUCACGUGCAGCAUCAAGAAAACUUGAUAACUCCACCUAUUGGGGUAGUAUGGUCAUUUUGCAUAGUUUAACAAUACGCACAAAUAUGGUUACACAAAAGGUAAAAAGUUGAGGUUAGGGACCAAAUCCGUAAUUUUGAUAAGCAUGGGGACUAAAUAUGUAGUUUACAAAAAUACCUGAAGAGCACGCGUUUCAUCAUCUAAAACUUGCUGUUGAACUUUCAUGGGGGGUUCAGUUGUAAUUUCACCUGGGCCCCUCAUCUCUGAUGAAAUUGUUGGUUCAGUUUUUUCAGGUGGGGCCCGCUUUGGUUUUGGUUUUCUUCUAGGCAUAGCUUGAUUAAUAGCUUCUUGAAAGCGUACACCUCUCAGUUGAUCAAAUUGUGAUGUCAAUGAAUGUAGAUUUUCACUUAAAAUCAAAACCUGUAAUUCAAAUAGAUAAAUAAUCAUAAUAAUCAAGAAAAUUUAUACGUACAACUCCAUGUUUGUGUGCGAUAGUAUCAGCAUUAGCAUCAUCACCCCUAGUUCCAGCCCAACCUUUUGCAUUUGCUUCUUCAUCAGUUAUGCUGGUUUUGAGAAUGUCAAUCUGUUCUUUACAAGCUUUUACAAAAACACUAACCUGUAAAAGAGUUAUGUGUUUUAAAACUUGAGUAAAUUACAUUUUGGUCCCUGGGUUUAGCUGAAAUUUUCAAUUUUGGUCCCAAAAAGCUCACUUUUGCAAAAGUGGUCCUUAUUUUGAAGUUUCCUAAAGAUUUUGGUUCGUGUGUGUCUAAGUUAACAAACUAGCUGUUAACCUUUUAAGAAUGACCAUUGUGCCCUUGGAUCAAAGAUAUUUUUUAGAGCCUUACUUCGUGUUCAAUGCUGUCUCUUUCCUCUUCAGUGGUAAGAUGAGAAUCUACAUAAUCCUUUCUAUGCUUUAUCAAGAACUGUUCUAGAAUCCCAAUGCCUUGUAGCUGAAAAAUGAAGGAAAAUAAGAAUUUUUUAAUAUUUAGGAUAAUUAUACAAGAAACAAUAUGUUUGUAUAUGGUAGUAAAGAUUUGUUUACUGUUUUUAAUGCAGUUUUGGUAAAAUGUGAUCUUUCACGAGGUUUGUGCAUGAUGAAAGAUGCCAUUAGAGCUGCCCUUUUGGCCUGUUGAUAGUAAUUACACUUACACAUCAGAAAAUCAUUAGAGGAAAUAAUGGUGAAAUAGGAAAAAGAUUGGUCAAACAUGGUCAAUACAGCAAUUAAUGAGAACAAACCUCCUUAAAUCCCAAAGAUAAAGCUCCCAUGUUGACAGCAUCUUUGAAGUCUUCAGUUAGGUCUCUGAUCUUAGCCAUGCCUUAACAUCCACUAGAACUCACCUUUUACAAAAAAAUAAAUAAAUAAAUAAAUCUUCAUAUAAAAGGAAUACUGUUGAAACUUAAAAAUAAAGUACCAACUUUUUCGAGGGUCGCAGAUAAUACAAAACAACAUUGCAAUAUUGAUGACAUGUUUAUAUUUGACAAGUAUGUCCAUUCUUGAGGUAUCUAAAUUAUAUAAAUUAUGAAUUAUGACCAAAGAAACUCACUGUUUUAUUAAGAGAUCAACUUUUUGUUCAUAAUGAGUUGCAGAAGAAGUUAAUAUGCAAUCUCUUUAUUGACUUGAACACAAUGCAAUCUCAUUCUACUACACAUAUAAUGUUGACUUUAGGAACAUGUUCAAAACCAAAAAAAAAAAAAGCACAACAUUCAUCACUGCAGAAGUUAAUUGCAAGCACAAGUUUAGGGACACUAGAAAAGGAUGCCAAGUACAUAAUGAUCUAGCACGUGUACAACUGUGUAUACAGCAAGCAAAAGCAACCAUGUCACUUCUUUUCCCCACAAAAGGUCCAAACGUCACCAAACUUAACAAUCAUGGCCUCUUUGACCUUUCAUUCAACCCAAAUACAGAGCCCAAAGCUCAGCAGAACUUGUUAGAAAAUAUGAUUUCAUUAACAAAAUUUACAACUCCAGAAAGCACCGAAAAGCUAGAAGCAAGAAACAAAAGAAUAAUGCAUACAACUAUUUCACAGUGCAAAAAUCAAACUAUUGUUACUUCUCCUGGUAACUUUAGGAACAUUUAGUCUCAAUGGAAGACACGAAGCAUAAGGGGAAAACGAAGAAUGAUAAUGUAGGGGUAUGGAUGGUCUUUUAGGGCAUCCUUUGAUCCAGAAAAAAAAAAUAAAAAAAAGGCAAAUUAUAUGGUAAGUUUGCCAAGAUGGAAAGAGAAUCACUUACAAGCCAUUCCCGAUUACCUUGAUCGCUGAUGUGGGGAAAGAAGAGGACGGAACCGGUGGCUGUGGGGAAAUAAGAGGACGGCAACGAUAGCUGCGGGGAAAGAGGACGGUGGCCCCGGUGACGGGGAAGGAAAGAAUAGGGUGGCGACGGAGGCUGGUGUUAGGAGGCGAGGGCGGUGGGUGGAAAUUGUUUGCUGCUUGCUAGUGAAUGGUUAGUAAGAUAAUUUGAGUGGUUGGAUAAAUAAAUUCCAGUUUAUUAGGUUAAAUAAGCUAAUUUUAAUAAACAUAUUUUCUUAUGUUAUUGUUUAUUGUUUGUUCCCAUCACAAAUAACCUAUAAACAAUAAGCUAAAAAGCUAAUCCAAACACCCCCUAAAAGGCUAAUAUUGUGUUUAGUUUUCGUUUUUACUUUUCGGUUUUUAUUUUUUCCUUUUCAAUUUUCAUUAGAAAAUUAAAAAACGUGUUUAUUUAAAACUUAUUUAUUUUUCAUUUUCAGUUUUAGAAAAAUUAGAAAACUUAUUCAUAUGUGUAUUUUUCUAUUGUUUUUUAUUUUUAGAAAACAGUAGUGAUGGUAGGGUAGGGGUGGGGGCGGUGGUAGUGGUGAUGGCGGCGACGACGACAAUUAUGGUGGCGGCGGCGGAGGUUGUACUAGUGAUAGGGUAGUGGUGGUGAUGAUGGCGAUGGUAGGUCGAUAAUUGUGGUAGUGGUGUUGGGUGNUGUAUGUGCGUAUUUGUGAAGGUGGGGAUGAAAGUGUAUUUGUGUGUGUAUAUGGUGGGGGUGGGGGUGAGUAUGUGUAUUGGGGACGGGCUUAGGAGUGAGUGAGUGUGGGUAGGCAGGGAUGUGGUGGGUUAGGGUGUUAAGAUGAGGGUAUGUAGAGGUAGAUGAGGUAACACGUGUGUGUGUUUAUAUUUUAGAAAAUGUGAAAAACAAUUAUUAUCGGUUUUUCAGAAAUUUUCAACGUCUUUGUAAUUUUAAAAAUGGAUAAUGUCAUAAAAAGCCUUAAGUUUGGCAGAAAAUGUCGGUUUUAACCUUUGACAAAUUUGUGGUUCGUUUACACCGCAAACUUGUCAUUUUUUUGUUGGUUUUGCCCUUUUUACCUGUAAUAGCAGGUAUUCAGGUUACCAUGAUUUUUUUUUUACGAAAAAACCCUUAAGUUUACAAAUACUUUGCAAAAAAACCUUUAAGAUUAUAACCAUAUAAAAUAUAAAUAUAUAUUAAAAACUUGAUAAAACUAGAUAGUUUUUUAAAAAUUAAAUAUCAAAAGUUUAUAUCAAACCAGUAUAAGUUUUAUUGAACUUAUAUUAUGAAACCAAAACUGAAACAUAUUUUUAGCUUUACGUACGGUAAAUUUUAUAUUGAUUCGAUAUAAACUUUUUAUAUUUAAGUUUUACAAAAGUUACCUAAUUUUAUCAAAAUUUGAAUGUUUCUUAAUUAAUACUUAAACUUUUCAAAUCAAAAUUAAAAAAAAAAAAAAAAAAAAAAAAAAAAAAAAAAAAAAAACGUAUGUUAGUUAAUAAUUAACUAUGCUAAAAUAGUUAAACAUAUGAAUAUAAUAUGACAUUAGUUAUUUUCAAAUAGUUUUUUUAAAAGGAAAAUAAAAAUAUUUUAUAAGUUUAAAAGGUUUUUAUUUCAAAAAUAAUAAACUAUCAUAUUUUUUUAUAAAAAUAAAUAUAUUUAUAUAAUAAAUUAGACAAAUAUAUUUAUAUUUUAUAUAUUUAAAAUGUUUAUGUUUAUUUUUGACGUUUAAAAUGUUUAUGAUAUAUUAUAAAAAAAAGUAUGAUAAUAUUAUUAUUUAUUUAAACAUAAAAAAAAAAAUAUAUGAUACGUUAUUAUUUCUGAAAUACAAACAUUUUAAACAUAUAAAAUAUUUUUAUUUUCCUUUUAAAAAAAUUUACUGAAUGUAAUUAAUGUAAUAUUAUUCAUAUGUUUAACUACUUGUAACGUCUUCAAAAAUACGACCCAAAAAUUUUUGUUUUAUAAUACUAAAAUCAUGUACUGAAUGUCAUAAUAUAAAACCAUACAUCAAAUAUCUCAAACCAUAAUAAAAUGUCGUAUCACAAACUGUAUCAAGUCAUAACUAAGAAAGACUCCCAGGAAUAAAACUGAAACUGUGGUGUGUGCGAUGCCAUCAUCCUGAACUCUUCCUUUUACUUGCGGAAGUACCUGAAACCAAAACUAAAAACUGUAAGCACGAAGCUUAGUGAGCUCCCCCAAACUACCACAUACCAUACAAUAACAUAAUAAGCACAUACUGGGCCUUACCCAUUGCAUCAGAACGAAGUCCAGAAACUGCAUCGGACCGAAGUCCGGAACUAAUCAUGGCCUUGCCCACUGCAUCAGACCGAAGUCCGGAAACUGCAUCGGAUCAAAGUCCGGAACUAACUGCAUCAGACCGAAAGUCCGGAACUAUCUGGGGCCUUGCCCCCUGCAUCGGACCGAAGUCCGGAAACUGCAUCGGACCGAAGUUCGGAACUAAAUGAACAUGGCAUAGCAUAAACAUAUCACCUAGCAUAAACACAUAUACUGCAUACUGCAUCGGACCGUAACCCGGAACACGUAACACAUAAAUCUUGUCUGAGCCACGAAGGCAUCAGACAUACUAACUACUGCAUCGGACCAAAGUCCGGAAACUACUUCUAACUAAAUGUGCCGGCAUUGUGGCCUUAGACCCGUUCUCACCUCGUAAUCUGGCUGCUGAAUGAACUGCUCGGGAAACUGUCUGUUGCUGCUCCGGUAUCUCCCCGGCUACAAUUUCCAUAAGUACACUCAAUCAAAUACUGAUAACUAUAUUGAGGGUAAAAUGACUAUUUUACCCCUGGUCAAAGUCAACCUCUUGGUCAAAGUCAACAUAUAGUUGACCUAACUCACCGAGUUGGGCCGCCAACUCGUCGAGUUCCUACUCUCAUUUCUCGUUUCUGCUCGCUACUACUCGUCGAGUUUGGCAUAGACUCGACGAGGUCCUCUUCGAUACUAAACUUAGUCAAUCUGNCGAGUUGUAUGAACAACUCGUCGAGUUCUCCUUCAACAUACGAACACUCUGACUGUGACUCGCCGAGUUGUAUGAACAACUCGCCGAGUCUGUUCUUGAGAUAUGAAGAUUGCCUUGGACUCGCCGAUUCAGGGCACUGACUCGCCGAGUCCCUCCAUGAAUGAGUCUGAUCUCCGACUCACUAAGUCCACCUAUAACUCACUGGUUCCACUCGGCAUAAUACAUGAAAGGGGAAAAUCGGGGACUCGCGACUCGACUCACCGAGUCCGAAGAACGACUCGCCGAGUCGGUUACAUGCAACUUCUAUAUAGUUGAUUCUGCUCAAAACCAAUGCAUACAACUUAUAGAUCUGGGUUCUUAAGGCUUGGUUAUCAUGUAAAGUUUCCAACUUUACAUGUACAUAUGCAUAAAAAGGAAUUAAAAGGCUUAGCAAGGACUAAAAGAGUACAUCUAGGGAUUAUACACGAAUUCGGCUCAUAAAGGUGGUAGAUCUGAGCUUUUGAAGCUCAAACCUAGCUAGAUCCAAUGGCUAUUCAACUCAAUAUGAUCUCUCCACUACAAUCAAGCUAGGAAGUGGAUAAAAAUGGCCAAAAUUGGGAUUUCUAAUGGAAGAUAAACAUAGAAACAGAAGAGAUUCGGAUUAUGCCUCAAUAAACUUUGGAUUGGACUCUAGAUCCUUGCUCUUCACCUUCCCCUUUGGUCCUUCCUUCUUUCUUUUCUCCAAACUUUAAAAGAUACACAAGAUAUGCUCAAAAUGCUCAAAUAAUGGCUAGGGUUUGCUAAAUAACGUUCUGAGGGUGAAGGAGGCGAGUUUGGGGCUCAUAACAUGGUUUAAAUAAGGUGCAAAACCCAUGGAUCUAGGGUUUCUUCCAGACUGGCGGACUCGCCGAGUCCCAAAUAUGGACUCGUCGAGUCGCCUACUUACACGUGCUCGAAAACCCGUCCCUACUCGAUGAUUCGGGCUACUGACUCGUCGAGUCCCUCUUGAAACUCGAAAAAUAUAAACAUUUAAAUUGCAUACCAAAAUUAGGGCGUUACAACUCUCCCCCACUUGUCUCGGACUUUGUCCUCGAAGUCUGUUGCUGCUGCAUCUGGAAAUUGUUGGAUUAGUGUCUAAGUCCAUAACUAUUUUGGUAUGUACUUGACCCGAUGGUGCAUGGUCCUUUUGGGUUGCCUUCACCAAAGCGACUUGAUAGGAUGAAUUAUGGAGAGAAAGGAUUAAAUAUGAUUUAUUAAUAUAUUAUGAGAAUAAUAUAUUAAAGGAGAAAUCAUAUUGUUUAAUUAAUAUUAGUCAAUAAUUAAUUGGUAAUUAGUUUUGUGACUAAAAGAGAUUAAUUAAACUUAAGGGACUGGAAUUGUAAUUAUAAGAUAAUUGCAAUUUGGGCCAUGGAUUGCCUUAUAUUAAGGAGUGGACGAAUUCUAUGGGGAAACCCAAGAAGAAAUCGUCCAAGGCCUUAAGGAAAGGGAUCCAUGGGUUGCUUAGGGCUUAAGCAUCCAAUUUAGGGUUUCCUUGUUAGAUAACCCUGAUAGCCUCCUAUAUAUAUAGAUCCCUUAUGACCUAAAAACGUGGCUAAGCAUCCUUCUAGGGUUUCACACGUUUUAGGGCAGCCUCCAUCCUCUCUCCUCUUCAUCCUCUUGCUCUUGGUGUUUGUGAACCAUUAGAGGAGUGACAUUUGUGAUAGGUCUUAAUGAUUAAGAACCAUAUCUCAAUUGAUCCUCUAAGUGAGUCUUAGUACAACUGUAUGUCUAAGAAGAGGAAUCAAGAAUUGAAUAAAUGGUUAAAUCAAGAGGUCAAUCAUACUUCGUUCCAAAACAAGUCUUAGAGUUAAGAUUGCGACAUUGAGUGAUAAGUAUUAAGAAGGUUUAUAGCAUUCAUCAAAUAUGGAAAAGUUGUGAUGUCUUGGAUAAGACAAAGACCAACUAGGACCAAUUUAUGAAGUGUUUUGAUAAAAACUACACUAACUCUUGAAUAUUUGUUUGUCAAGAAAUGGUUAUUGACAAGAGAAUCUUAUAUGUCAAGGAGUCAGUGGGAGUCUUAAUGGUCUUGAAAGGUUUCAAGAAC